rnacentral:lncRNA from 1 species
UUUUUUUUUUUUUUUUUUUUUUACAGAAGUUCCUGUCAGUAUGAAAACUCUUAAAGCUUUUACAACUCACCAAAAAAGAUGAAAUAAUACUCAACUCUUUGGGGUUAAAUAGUCGCCUGCAACAUUAAUAAGAGUGUCAAGGAGAUACACCAUUGCCUAUUGGUUACCUGAUAGAUAAACCAAUAUUUUAUCGUGUAUCACAUGCAUAAUUAAUGAACAUCCCCAUUGACUGCUAUAGCGAAUUUCUUCUCCCUAGACCAUGGAGGUAAUUUCGAGCAAAUUGGUGCAAAGUUCUUGAGCUUUAGAUAUCAUAACCAUGUGAUCUGCUUCUUUUAUUUCCUUGGCCACGUCUGGAGGAUUGUUUUCUACCAUCCACCUUUGCACAUCCGCCGGCAUCGCCACGUCUGAUCCACCAAUGAAAUAUGCCCGACGAACUGACCCAUAUUUUUCCUCGGUAACCCUAAGUUGUUGAUUUGACUCCUGGUCCGUGAAGAACUUGGUCGGUCUUACUAACAACGUUGCAAGUUUUAGAUCCUAUUGAAAUAGUUGACCAUAAAUUGAUGAAAUAAAAUUGAAGUAGACAGGGUACUGUAUUUUGCUUGCUUUUUUGGUACAAGAGAAAAGAACUUCUUCAACUGGAAGUGCAACAAUUGAUUUAUGCUUCAAAUACAUAUUUGGUUAAUGAUUCUUGUAGAACAGAAUCAACUUCACAUUCGUGGAAUUGCUCGUGAUGACUACGCUAGGCCGACAGCAUGAGAGACUUAUCUAUCAAGCUAGUAAUCAACAGCUCAAAGAGUCCGUUUGCAAGGUGUAUUUUUUUUGGGUAUUUAUGAAAAUUUUUAUUAUAAAAUUUAUAGAAAUUUUUUUGUAUAUUUAAAGAUUUGGAGAAAAACUUUCUUAUUUUUUCCUUUUCUUUUCUUUUUGUUUUUGCCUUUCUUUCUUCUCUUUUUAUUUCUUCUCUCAUUGUUGCUGUUCUUCUUCUCCCUCCCGCCAUCUCACUCUCCCCUUUCCUUCUUUCUUUUUUCCUCUUUCUUCCUCCCUCUUUCUCCUUCCUUCUCCUUUUCUCCCCCUCCUCUCCUUUCCUCUCCCUUCUUCUCCUACUUCCCCCUCUCUCUCUCUCACUCCAUCCUCUUCCCCUCUUCGACGGCCUCCGAUUGCAUGACCAGAGGUCGUCGGAAUGGGGGAGGGGCCGGGGUGAGGCCGUGAAGAAGAGGGAAGAAGGAGAAGGCGAGGGAGGUGAAGAGAGAGAGAGGAAAAAAGGGAUAAAGGAGUCUGUCCGUGGUGGUAGGCUUAGGUGGAGGAAGAAGAAAAAAAGAAAGAAAGAAAGAAAAAAUUAUGUGUCAUUUCAAUAUACAAAAAACUUGGCUUCCGAACAGACUCUUUAAUGUGAUCCGUUUACGAUAUAUAAAAAAUAAUUGAAAAUAUAAUUCAUCAAAGAGAUAUUUGUACUUGGAAAAUUUUGGACCUGAUAAAGAAUAGACUUGUUCAUCAAAUCAGGUAUAGCUCACCUUUCCCUGCCUGAGUAACAAUACUAGAGUCACUAAAUCUAUCAUUACUCUACUUAUCCAUAUUUUUGUUAUUAUGAAGCUACACUUGGUGUCACAGGUUAGGCCUUUCUUGUAUCUACUGAAUGAAAAACUCGUGGGUGCUUGUCCCAAUUUUAUCAGAUGUCCCAAAAGCCUGGGCACUUGUCAAUAGUCAUAUAAGCUGAACGUAGUAGUGCUCUUCCAUUGGUGGUGGGUCCGAUGAUAAGUAGGUAAAAAUUUGUUUUGUAUUUUGAAGACAAAAGUUUACAUAAUUAAUAUUUAAUUAAACUUUAUGCGUUCUUAGUGCCCAAAACAGAAAAAGCACAACAAAUGAAAUAAUCCCAACUAAUUUGUGUGUAAAUCAUUCAGAAUUUCCAGCCCAUUAAUGGGUCUUGGAAGAAUCUUUUACCUCAAGUGGUGAGUUUGUAUAAACUCUCUUUGCCAAGAAUUCGUUCCCAAAGAGGAUAAUUGUUUGGGUACCUCCAGACACAUUAAUCUUCUUUUGUUCACUAUCUAGAUAAUAUUCUGGUCCUGGACAAAACUACAUAUUCGUGGAAAGGAAACGGAUCAAAUUAUAUAACAAAAUGAACUGAAAUGAAAUCACGAAACAACAAAAUUAAGCAGUAGAAGUCAAAUCAACAAAAUGAACGAUUUUUCUAUUUCCCAAAUAUCUGUUGCCGUAUUUUUCACUUAGGUGGAUAAUUACCAUAUAAAUCAAAUGCUUUGGAGUAGGUGGAUACAAGCAUGUUUUGCCAGAAUUCAAUCUCUUUCAGAAUACUGAAUUUGAGCCAAGUGAGCUUAUGUAUGUUCAUAGAAUUCUCUCAAUGGUCCUGAACCAACCAUUACGACAGACAUUAAAUCUCUCAUCUGUUUGAGAAGAUUAAAAAUUUUGAGCAUUUAGAAAACUCUUUUGACUGUUUUUCUACUAUUUAAAAAACUUAAAGCUGCAUAUGCAUCAUAGUAUAAACUUGAGGUUUAAGCAGUAAUACAUACCCAUUCGUCAAGUUUGUCUAGGGGCAAUUCAGGACCAAGCAUGUGAGCAGAAACAAAAACAGCAAAAUCAAUUUUCUCUGGAUAUCUUUCCAUGGCUGAGGAAACAGCAUAGCCACCCAUGCUGUGGCCAACAAGAAUGACUUUUUCCUCCGGCGAAAGAGCGUCCAUGAACGAGAAGAGUGGUUUGUGGUAGUCAUCAAUGGUUAGCACAUCUUGAAUCCGCUCCUGGUUUCGCCCAGAUGCAGCUAAGUCUAAGGCUGUAACUUUGUGGCCUGCCUCUUCCAACAAAGUCACUAGUUUGUACCAAGACCAUGCACCAAGACAAGCACCAUGAACGAGCAGAAAGUGUGAACGAUUACCUACCAUAUUGAACUUUUCAGUCUGUAGUGUUUUUUUUCGUGCAAUUCAAUAUCUAAAAUGCACUAGUAUAUGUAAGCAAGCAUGCCUAGACAUUUGAUACCUGGGCAUGGUAGGCCCAAUGGCCAACAAAAGUGCUAGACAUCAAGUGAUCACGCCUCCUGGGAUCAGGUUAAUAAGCAAAAGUCUUGACCGUUUCGGUAAAAAAAAAAAAGUGAUCACGCCUCCCGAGUCCUGCCAAAUGCCCGGUUGGUGUCUUCGGUUCGGCCCUAUUCCCCAUGGAUCCUCAUUAAUAAAUUUCUAUCCUUUUUUUUUAAUCAGCCUCACUUAUUUAUUAUGUACCUAAUCCUGUUUCUAUUCUAAGGGUAUUCUAAAGGAGGGCCCAACUUGACAUUCUAUUCUAAGGGUAUUCUAAAGGAGGGCCCAACUUGACAUAUAGGGGAAUCAACGAAAAUUGAACCACCAUUGAACUAGACGGGGGCACUACUUACUUCUAUUCCUACUCUAAGCAUAUUCUAAGGAGGAGAGCCCAACUAGACCUACAAAGAUAUCUACAGGUAUUGAAUCACCAUUAAAUCAGACGAAUACACUACACACCCGUAUAACUUUAGAGAAUGCCACUUAAAAUGGCAAGCCACAUAUAGUGGUAAGUAAUGGAAUGUAAGAUUUAAACCCUUGAUUUAACACCCCCACCAAAAUUUAAAAUUUUUUAUAAUGGCCAACAGUCCAAAUGGCUGUUGUUAACAAAUUUCUACCACAUGCCCCGAUUUUUAAGUUUUCUCACGUGAGACUUCAGUCUUACUUGAGCCAGAUUAGUUUAAAAGAGGCAAAUGCAACAUAAAUGAUCUUCAUUUCUCUCCAGCAUUCAAUAAGUCUUAUUGUUUGGCCUGAUUCCAUGAUUCACAAAACUCUGUAAUCUUAAAAAAUGCAUACAAAAUCCCAAUCUUUUCAUAAAGGAGAGGAGGAAAAAAAAAAUUUUUUUGGUAAACACAUUACAAAGAAGCGUGUGCUAUGGAUAUAAAUCACAAAAUUGCAUAAUUAUGAGAAAUUAAAAACAGUAAUCCAUAAAUUCGUCUGCGGGAUUGAUACCAAGAAAAUCAGUUCUCUCCUUGCCUCUAGAUUUCUUGGAGGUUCCAACAGCAAUGACCAUCUAAAAAGAGUGAUACUAGAGCAAUUCUCCAUGAAGUAUUUGUCCUCAAUAUUGGGAUGCCAAUAUUACUGGAUUUCUUUCUUUCUUUCUUUGGCAUCAAAACGGACAAAGGCAUCCUAUGUAAUAGAGAUUACAAUAAUCUUGCUUGGCUAGUCAACUCAUGGGCUACAAUAACCUGAUUCCUGGAGACUUUCUGGAAUACAACUUGUACAAAAAAAAAAAAAAAAGAAAGCUACUACUUGAUUUUACUCAUUACUAUUCAGUAUAAAUAUAGACAUUUUAAUAUGUAUGUCCUUUACUAUAUUAGGGACUGAGAAGACUUAAAGAGAUCAAGGAACAACUUGACGGGUACUGAAUCACCAUGACUCAGACGAAUACCUAAGGUGGCGUUUGGUUCGCACAUCGGUAUCGGAUUCGGAUUCGAAAUCGGAUAUCUUGGGUUUGGAAUGAGGUCAUUCAUUCCAAUACAUUUGUUUGGUUCAAGUACCUGGAAUGUGUAUCAUUACUAUAGUUGAUGUUUGGUUCGUCGACUCUUUCGGAAUGGAAUAUAAUAAAUAUAUUAUAAACCCCAUCGUAAAUGAUAGUUAUUGGCUCUUUGUAAAUGGGAUAUAAGAAAUCUUCACUAAUUAAAUAUAUUAGUAUAAAUGUAUUAGUAAAUUUAGUCUAACUAAUUAAUAAUUUCUAUUAGUAAACAUGUAUAAUUAUUAGUAAAAUUGAUAAUAUUAAUUAUAUUACAUAAAUUAAUAUACAUUAUAUAAUACAUAUAAAUAAUAAUAUUAUUAUUAUAAGUUUGUAACUAAUUAAAUUAAAAAUUAUAUAUAUAAUUAAAUAUAAAUAUACAAUGUUAUAAUAUAAAUAUAUAAAUAUAUAAUAUAUACAAAUAUUAAUUAUAAUAAUAUUUUAUAUAAAUAUAAUAUAUAUUACAUAUUAAAUAUAGUUAUUAUUAUAUAUUAUUAUAUUUAAAAUAAUAAUUAUUAUAAUUAUAUAACUUAUUAAUAUUACAUACAUGUAUAUAUUAUAAUUAUAUGCACAUAUAAUAUACAUUUAUAAAUAUACAUAUGUAUUAUAAAUAUAAUAUUUAUAAUAAUAAUAAAUUUAUAAUAUAUAUUAUAUAAGUAUAAUUAUAUUUAACUAAAUAAUUAUAAUAUAUAAUUAUAUAAUACAAUAACAUCAUUAUUAUAAGUUUGUAACUAAUUAAAUUAAAUAUUAUAUAUAUAAUUAAUUAUAAUUAUACAAAUGCUAUAAAAUAAACACAUAAUUAUAAUUAUAUAAUAUAUAAAUAUUAAUUGUACUCAUAUUUUAUAUAAGUAUAAUGCAUAUUAAUAUUAGAUAUAGUAAUUAUUAUAUAUUAUUGUAUUUAAAAUAAUAAAUAUAAAUAUAAUUAUACAAUUUAUUAAUAUUAUAUACAUGUGUAUAUUAUAAUCAUAUGCACAUAUAAUAUGCAUUUAUAAAUAUACAUAUAUAUUAUAAAUAUAUUAUUAUAUAAUAUUAAUAAAUUUAUAAUAUAUAUUAUAUGAAUAUAAUUAUAUUUAACUAAAUAAUUAUAAUAUAUAUUUAUAUAAUGUACUAAUAUUAUAAUUAUAAUAUAUUAUAUAUAUGUAUAUAUUAUAAUAUAUAAUAAAUAUAAUAAAUAUUAAUAUUAAUUAUAUCAUUGUAUAAUUAUAAUAUGUAAUUGGAUUUGUUUCUUGGAAUCAAACUUGGGAAUCGGACAAAACCCACCAAAAUACUUGGGAAUGGAGAAACACCAAAUUUUUAGAAAUCAUUCCAAGAUUUCAAUUCCCAUUCCAGUGAACCAAACACCAUUUAUGCACUUGGGAUCCUCGGUGACAUAUUUUGAGUGCCAAUUCAAUGCCACCUCUAAUAUUGUGCCAAGUGUCCUGUUAUUAUUUGCACUGCUUCAAAUGACCAAGAAUUACUAUGACACUUGGCACAAUAUUAGAGGUGGCAUUGGAUUGGCACUCAAAAUAUGUCACCGAGGAUCUCAAGUGCCAUUUAUGGGGUUCAUUUCAUUCCCCGAAUCCGAUACCCUCUUACCAAACGCCCCCUAAAUACCUGUUGAUGAAACAUUUAAGAAAAUUCUGAAUAAUAAAACGUGGGCCAAUAGACCAAGAUCGACACCCAAAUAAAGUCUCAAGUCUUUAAGCAUGGUGCUCCAUGUCUGUUUAUACCAGGGAAGGUUGCUUCCACGGUGGAAAAUGGGAUGAACUUCCCACCCACCAUGCACGCUACUCUUGCACGCAGAAAAUGGUGCUAUCAGCUUUGCUUUUUUUUUUUUUUUUUAAAUGUCAGCUUUGCUUAAAAUGCGUGCCAAUCAUCGAUAUGUACGUGUAUUAGGUAGUAGUAACUACUAGUGUAUUAUUUUUGACAAAAAAAAAAAAAAAAAACUACUACUCUACUACUACUGUACUAGUUUUUUUUUGACAAAAAAAAAAAAACUACUACUGUACUAGUUUGCUUAAAAAAUGCGUACCAACCGAUAUGGAUGUGUAUUAGGUAGCAGUACUACUAGUGUACUAGCUCGAGCACACUGGCGUCGGCAGGCAUUCAUUUCUCUACUUCAGCCUUGUCCAGAUUGCAUUUCUUCCGCACAAAAAUUUUUUAUAUUUUUUAUGAACAUAUUUAUCAAUCAUCUAUUUACCUCAUAUACAUUAAAUUGAUAUAAUACAUUUUUUUUAUAAAAUUUCUAAAAAUAGCAAUCUAAACGGAACAUUGAGUCUGUGAUAAAAUUUAGUGUGGUUGGAUAGAAAAUUAACCAAAAAAUUUUUAGAAUAGUCACAGUAAAAUUUUUUGAGGUAUGAUAUAUGUGAAAUGAAAAAAUAAUUUAAAAAUGUAUUUUUAAUGCAAUUUUUUUUAAGUAACAACGUGUGCUUUUUCUUGUUAAAGUGAUUGGUCCCUAAAAUCAAAGGUUUUUUUUUUUUUGGUAAUCUCCCGGGAGCAGGUGGAAUCAUUGACAUUAGUUUGUAUGAAAUUGGAUCCAAAACAAAAAGAAAGGAUUGAUGGACGGAGCUCGCAAUAAUCUUCGAUCCCCUACUGGCUAAGCUACGGGCACGCCUAUUCCAUUGGAGUUCUAAACUUCUGAGUACGGGGGUAAGAUUGUCCUCAUUCGGCACGUGCUCGGCUCGAUUCCUCUGUAUCUGCUUCAGGCAAUUUGCCCUCCCAAAACCGUGGUGACGGCCCUAGGCAGGAUCUGCAACUUAUUUCUCUGGGAUUCAAAUGUUGAUUCAAAGAGGAUGCACUGGGCGAUGUGGGAGAAGCUAUGCUUUCCUGUUCAAGAAGAGGGUCUGGGGUUUCGCUCCUUUUUUGAGUCGGCAAAGGCCUUCGCCUGCAAGUCGUGGUGGCAGUUACACAGAAAUGAUUCGAUAUGGGCUGGGUAUAUGUACAGUAAGUACAUUAAGGACUCCCACCCGUCAAUCGCUGUGGUGGAUCAUCCCCCGGCGUCAUGGCGACGACUGUUAGCAGUCCGAGAUUUUGCGGAGACGCGGAUUUGUUGGUGCUUAGGAAAGGGACUAGUCGACUUCUGGUACGAUACCUGGUGUGGUGAUCUCCCUCUAGCGCUAGUGGUGGGGGUCACCAAUUCCCCUUAUGCCCUGGUGGCAGAGUUCUACACAGCUCAUGGCUGGAAUGUUCCUCGGCUCAAGGAGUGGGUGCCAGACUUUGUGGUGCAGCGGAUCACUAGCAUUCCUUUCUUCCCUGAACAGGACGAUGCCAUGGUUUGGGUACCAUCACACAAUGGUGAUUUCUCUGUGGCUUCCGCAUGGGAGGACAUCCGUCAAAGACGUCAUACAUCGUGGAUUGAUCGCUAUGUAUGGGGGCCGAUCGUGCCCUUACGAGUUUCCUUUUUUGCAUGGCGUCUAGUGCGCCGUUGGAUCCCUCUUGACAGUGUGCUGCAGAGUAAGGGGGUCACAUUAUGUUCCAGGUGUAGUUGUUGCCGCCGGGCUCAUGAGACUGUCAUUCACUUGUUCCUGCACUGCACUGUGGCUAGGGCGGUGUGGGACCACUUUCUCAAAGUGUUCGGUCUCCUCCCGUUUACCGCGCACAGCGUGCCUGCUAUGUUGUCCCAUUGGUUCUUCUCUCACUCCAAAGUGUCAACAACACAUGUGCGGGUCCUGGUCCCUUUGUUGGUUCUCUGGUUUAUUUGGAAGAGCAGAAACUCAGCAAGAUUUGAAGCAGCUUCGGCCACUCCGGCCCAGGUGAUCUUCCGGAUCGAGGAGUUUUUGGAUCAGAUGGGUACGUCUCAUGCAUUCUCCAGGACCUCCUUUGCAGGUGAUCGGGACUGUCCAUGGGCAAGGUUUGGAGGCCACUUUAGGCGGGAUAAAAAUGUUGCCCCCGUUGCUUGGAAAAAGCCACCACCGGGGUGGCUCAAGCUUAACACCGAUGCCAGUGUCCUACACGGCAGGGCAUCUGGUGGAGAGGUCUUACGUGACCACUGUGGGAAGGUGUGUUUCGCCUAUUAUAAGGAGUUCGGAGAGUUAGAUGUGUUGGAAGCGGAGACGCAAACACUCCUGCAUGGUCUCCAGUUAUGUGCAGAUCGCGAGGUGGGGGCGUUGACGGUAGAGUCAGACUUAAAGGCGCUUGUUCAACUAGUUUGCUCGGAUAUGGGGUCCAAGUGGCCGGUGUGUAUCGUACUGCAGGAAAUCAGACAUUUGGUCCAGCGGAUGGAUGCAUCCCUUCACCAUGUCUUUCGUGAGGCCAAUUCGGUGGCGGAUGCAUUGGCUUCUCUGCAUUUGGGAGGGCAGCGCGUCUACGUCUCAGACGCGGCCUUGCCUCUCAGGGUCAGAGGAAAGGCUCUUCUGGAUCGUCACGGAGUACCUCGGUUUCGUGAAGUGCUCAUUUAGGGUUUGAUUGGCUAUGCCCUCGCUUACUCCAGUCUUUGUUCUAUUUUUUAUUUUUGUAACUCUCCCAUUCGUGAAUAAAAUUUAGGGUUGGCUACCCUCCCUCAUUGGGGUUUCGCCAAAAAAAAAAAAAAAAAGUAAUAACACGACAAGCAUGCAACAGGAGAAGCGUAAAUUAUACUUUGCCCCCAAAUAUUUCCAAAAUUUGGGGGUCAAUUGUUUUCUGUCACCACAUUUUGCACGUGUUAUUUUGGUCAAAGAUUCUUUCUAACACUUCGUUUGACAGACUAGUCAGAAAGACGAAAUCAUGUUUAUCCUAGCCAAAACAAAACUUGAACGUAUCUCUUUAUAAAUUCAUAAGGGGACCAUGUUGAAAUUAUUGCAACAAGAUUGCUACAUUGAUCAUAUGAAAUUAGUUUUAGCAUUAAAGUAUUUUGCAUCUUUACAAGUCAAUUCAAUGGAAGAUUUUUCAAAGAAAACUUUUGAUUAGUCAUUUUUUAUAUCAUUGUUUGAGUUAAGUUGAUUAAAUUUUGUUGAAAAAAACAUAUGGAAUAUUAUUUUAUUAUAACAAAUUUUUAGAAAAAUUUAAAAUAAUUUUACUCACUAUUGAAAUUUCGAAUUUCAAAUAUUUAUGAAUUAAUGGCCGAUGAACACCCGUAAGUUUAAUUGUACGUUGACAUGAACAAUUUGGAAAACAUCACGCCUGCAAAUAUAGAAAAACAUAACGCCUUCUUCAGAGGACUAAGAGUGGAGUGAGAGGAAAAAACGAAUAUAGAAGAAAGGGAUAAUUUCAGAAACCUCCCCUGAGGUUUCUGACAGUCUCAAGGACCUCCCCUGAAGUUUCGAAAAUCCCUUAUACCUCCCCUGUCAGAUUGUUGGGUCCCAAAAUGACUUGAAAAACGUUGAAUUGACACAAAUAUCCCUGCUGUUGAAGUAAUAUAUUCUGAUAAUAACAUGAAUUAAUUAGUGAAAUGAGUAAUAGAAAGGAUUAAGUAACUUAACUGGAAUUUGAUAAUAAAAUGAAUUGCUAAUUUGGGCUAAGAGAAAAGGCGCCAAAAAUUGCAUCAAACUAGCAAGCUUUUUGGUUGGACUGUAUCUUGCAUCCGAUAAAUACGAAUUCCUAGAAAAUUGCCUAGAAAAUUUUCUAGAAAUUUAUUUAUCGGAUAAAAUAAAUUUAAACCCAUUGUUGAAUAAAAGACCAGCUCUUUAUGGCUUUCGUCCAUUAUACUUACAGAGUACCCAUUUUCCUUCAAUGCGAGGUCAUGUACCUUGCAUUUAACAAAUGCAAGGUCAUGUACCUCAGUUUCCCAUCAUUGUUUCGUAUGAUGCUUCCAUAUUUUGGCAUGAUUUUUCCUUUUGCUUCAGCUGUAAUGCCAUGUACUCAAUAUAAAUGAUUUAACUGCAAAUUAUAAAAUGAUUUACAAUUUGCAAUGAAAGCGUCUACAAAUUUUAGCAGUUAAGGCUCUAAAUUCAUUAGAACUGGAAAAAAAAUUUAUUUUAAUUCAAUAAAUUUAUUUUAUUUUAUUUUAUUUUCGGCAUUCAAUGGGUUUAAAUUUAUUUUAUCCGAUAAAUAAAUUUCUAUUUAAGGCACCUUGGGUAUUCUGUGAGUAUAAUGGACGAAAGGCAUAAAGAGCUGGUCUUUUAUUCAACAACGAAUUUUGGCAGUGAAGAAACCUCAGUCACAACCCAACAACAUUCACUGGUUUCUCUUGCAACUUCAGUAGGCAAUUAUAUAGAGCUCCAAAGCAACACUACUGUUUCUUAUUACCGUUACAAAGAACUACUUUGAGAGCCGUUGGCAUGAACUAGAAGACAAUUUCUUGCAAGUCAAAAUUGUUUCAACCUGGAUGUUUGCCUUUAGUGGCCAUUGUGGUGCUCAUAACAUCAUACAUUCUGGCACCCAUUUUUCUCCAUAUUCAUGAAACCAGAAAUUUAUAUUUUGUAAAACUCCAUCACUCCCACAUCACCGAAAUAUACACCACAUUUAGAAUCCAUUGUGGUUCAUCUUUUCAAAGAGACUUGUCCAGAAUAUAGUCCCUUGUGAGAAUAUAAAUAUCAUGCUCAUGAUAUUGAAAUCGAGUUUCUUGGUUGCUAUAAAUCAGGUUUUCAAUUCUUAUAUUUUUUAGAAAAAAAAAAAAUUCUCUCCCAUUUUUUCGUAAGCACUAAAUAAGAGCCUAAGUUUCUCAGCGACAUUAAGCAUUCUAUCAUAAUUGAAAGUGCAGACAUGUAUUGCCAGCCUUCAUGCCAAGAACUCAGGAUGGAGAGGCUCACUAAAAUUUUCCUCUAUGAAUUUGAGUUUUUGGUAACAAAGCAGUCCAAAUCAUAUUACAAAAUUAUUUUCAUGUGUGGUCUUUUAUUCAACAAUGGGUUUAAAUUUAUUUUAUCCGAUAAAUAAAUUUCUAAACUGCCCGCUCCUGUUAUAGGUGACACUUCUUGUUGUGAUCAAAAAAUAGAUUUUGAUUAGAAUUUUGCUACUUGUAUGAGCACUUUUGCAGAAACCUCAGUCAUAACCCAACAACAUUCACUGGUUUCUCUUGCAACUUCAGUAGGCAAUUAUAUAGAGCUCCAAAGCAACACUACUGUUUCUUAUUACCGUCACAAAGAACUACUUUGAGAGUGAACUAGAAGACAAUUUCUUGCAAUACAGCCUUACCUUUUUCCAUCAGUUUCACAUACACCCCCCGCAAUUUCAAAGGAACUAGAUUCCAUUGAAAUUUUCAACAUAAACAUCCUCACUAAUGACAAUCUUGAGGGCAGAGGUGGAAUUUGAUUAUUUUCUCUCUCCUAAAACACAUUUUAUAUUCAUUGUCCACCUCAAUUGGGUUGGACCUGAAACUAUCUACUUAGUUUUAGGGGAGGUAUAAGGGAUUUUCGGAACUUCAGGGGAGGUCCUUGAGACUGUCAGAAACCUCAGGGGAGGUUUCUGAAAUUAUCCCUAGAAGAAAAAGAAAGAGGAAGACCACACAAGGUUCUCCUUCUUUCCAAUCUAUCAUGACAAUUCUUAAUAAGUGGUGUUUAGCAUCAAAAAAAAUCAAGGAAUAAUUUUAGAAACCUCCCCUGAGAUCUCUCACUAUUUCACUAGCUUCCCUCCAUGUUUUAAAAAUUACAUUAACGUCCCUUAAAAUUAAUUAUCUUGUAAUAUUAGACCAAAUCAAUAAUUAAAAAGUGAUAUUAAGAGAUAAAAGAUAAUAUGAUUUCAUCAUUGCUUCUCUUCUAUUAUAUUAUUUAAUUAAUUCAAUAUCAACCCACACAUUAAAGAAAAAUACAAAAAUUUGCUAUUUAUCAUUAGGGUUCAAAUCACAUAUAAUAUCAAAAAUAUAUAUAUCAUUUUAUAUUUUUCACUUAAUAUAAGAUUUAAAUUACUCUUUUCAAUUACAAAUCCACUGUCAAAUACGAUCAAUAGCAAAUAAUCAAUAAAAAUUGAAACCAAAAUAUUACAAAGAACAAGCUUUCAUAAAUAUUCUUGUCAACAUAUUAAUGUUAGAUACUGAGAUUUUUAUGGUAUUAAAGUUCGCUCUUUAUAAUAUUUUGGUUACAAUUUUUUUAAUUAUUUGUUGUUGAUCUUGUUUGACAAUGGGUUCAUAACUGAAAAGAGCAAUUUAGAUCUUACUUUAAGUGAAAUAUAUAAAAUGAUAUACUAUUUUUGAUGCCAUCUGUGAUUUAAUUCUUGAUGAUAAACAGCAAAUUCUAAUAUUUUUUUAAUGUUUGGAUUGGUGUUAAAUUAAUUAAACAAUUUAGUAGAUGAGGGGGUAAUGGUGGAAUCAUAUUAUCUCUCUCUCUCUCUCUCUUCUAAUAUCAUUUUUAAAUUGUUGAUUGGACCCAAAUAUUACAUGAUAAAAAAGCUCAAGAGAGGUUAGUGUAAUUUUCAAAACCUGAAGGGAGGACAGUCAAAUAGUUAAAAACCUCAGGGGAGGUUUAUGAAAACAUUUCAAUUCUUUUUUCUAGCAUAGGGAGUUUUGGAAUUUAAGAAAGGAGGGUGCGGAAGGGAGAUUUAAGAAAACUUGUCCUACACUUAAUUUAAAUUAAUUUAGUUACCAACAAUGGUGAAAUACUUUGUAUGUCACUUUUCUUUUUGAUAAAAAAAACGAUUUUACAAAUCUGGAGGGAAGUUAUUGGCAAAGCUACUACAUUGCAAGUCAGUAGUCGACGUCAAAGCAUUUGAUGUUUUAGUUAUUUUUCUUUGACUUAACAAAAAGUUACUGCCUUGUCAAUGUUCUCCAGCAUAAAUAUACAAUACUGAAGCGAAAAUGGACACAUAGUUGUCCUCGAUCCUGUGUUGGCAACUUUGUCAAAUAUUUUAGGUAAACUUGAUCUUGUAGAUAAGUGCUUUGCAUGAUUGUACUGUUUGCAUUAUUAGUUGUAUGUUCUAAAACGAUCUAAAUUUUUAAAACAUGUUGGUUUACAAGACUUUCACCAAAAAAAAAAAAAAAGAAAAGAAAAUUUUUUUUCAAGACCAGAUCUACCUAUUUGUUAUCGUUUGGAGAAAAAAAAAAAAAAGACCAGAUCUACCUAAAUGAUGUUUUAAUAAUUUGUUGUCUCAGUUAGGAUUCUCACACAUUAAGAUUUUGUUUAAUUAAGAUUAGUGAAGUUUCUUCGUUUAAUUACAAAUGCAUUUUGACCCAAUCGUCAUAAAUUCUUGCUUUAUCAUGAUCAAUAGUUGUAUAUGUACGUUACACAAGAGCAAACUCAUCACUAUGAAAAAUGGCGGGAAAAAAUUUGAAAUCCUACGAGAAGUGCUAAGGACUACUAAGUGUUUGGACAGGAGAUUAUUUAAAAUAUUAUUUGAAAUAAUUAUUGUAACACUUUUUGUGAUGUGAUGUAUGUGAGAUACAAAAGUUAAUUGGAAAGAUAAAAAGGUGCGCUGAAAAUUGCGUUUGUGAUGCAAGUAAAUAAUUUGGAGCCAAAUAAUGGCUAUCCAAAUCCUCUGUCUUUUUUUUUUUUUUUUAUGAGACAUAAUGUUAUCUUUAUCUCUUUUUUUUUUUUUUUGCAAAUAGUAGAGAUGGCGGGAUGGUCGGGAUUUGCUUGGGUUUGAGAUGGAACCGAGUCAUAUGAGUUUGGGUCCAACCUUACCCAUAUGUGUUUUGGGACUAACUUGGGCGGGAUCACUUUGGGAUGGGUUUAGAUUGAACUCAAGUCUAGUUAUUUCCUACCUUACCACCCAAUCCAACCCAACCCUCUCCCUAUGUUAUCUUUUUCUUUAAUAAGAAAUUGCAAGAAAAUGAAUGUUAAAGUUUGCUAAUUGCAAUUGUAUGUAAUUAUCUUGUUCAUCUUUUUUCCUGCCAAAACAAAAUAUAAUUUGCGACCUACAACCACACUUUCAUUUUCAUCAACCUACAAUAAACGCAAGCAAAUACCUUCUCACGGAUAUAGAAGCCAUCAUUCCUCACAACCCAAUUGCACUUGUUAAGCUUAUAUAAAAAUUUGCCACAAAAUUCACGAGCAAAGUCCCCAGUUAAAAACUGUAAGGUUUCUUUGUUCUUUACCCCAUUCGAAAUGCUAGACGUACGAAGUUGUCCUGAAAAAAUCUGGACUGAACUCCUAAUGGAAAUCAUUGUUCAAAUGGAGUGUGUGACAUCCAAGCUCCUUAUCUUUGGAUUGGCAAACACAUUUCUACUGGAAUGGAAUUUCUUUGGGAGGUGAUUCACCACUUGAACAUAAUAACCCUCAAAAGAAGCAUUUACAAGGAUAGUUUCGAAAAAGUAAAAUGAUAAGAUGGAGACAAUUAGAAGGUUUUUCACUGUGGUAUGUGCCAUUUUGCUCAGUAAAAUUUAACUCUUUAAAUCAGAAAACCUUCUGUUUAUAUCGGGAGGUACGUGGAAGAUGGUCGUUUUGUUCUUUUUUUGGUUUUUUUCGUUUAGAGAAAAGAUGUUGGAGGAGUUCACUGGGGUUGAAAAUUUCACAACCUUGCAUCGUUAGAACUAGUUUUGCAGUCCGACCUACCCGGUUUCAAAUUUUCUGUCCCCAAAUUAGUCUCUAUUUCCUCUAUUCCCAAAAGUUUGUUAGAACAAAAAUAAAAAAAAAGUUUGAAUUAUCUAUUUUAAUUGAUUUUGAAUAAACUUUUCACCCGAUUAUUAUCGAUUUGUUUGAAUUUAAAUUAUCAAAAAGUUAGAAACACGUGACAACUGUACAAAGAAAGGACAGAGAAGAUAGAAAUUAAUUUGAAGACAAAAGAUUCGAAGCCGACCUACCCUACCUUCCCCACUCCACCAAUCUUUUUCCGCCCAGUGGUUCCCCUUGCUGGCCAUCAUAAAAUGAGAAAUUCCAUAGUUGAACUGUUUUCCCCCGUCUGGUUUAUUUCGGAUCAGCAAUUCUGGAAAUUCAUGCAACAGUCACAACUAGAAACUACAAAUCGGUCAAAAUCCAAUAUUUUACUCCCAUGUAAAACAUACAAGUCCUAGAAAGUAGGCAACUAGACGAUCAUGAGAUUUUUCUUCUUCAGUUAUUAAAACCAGGAUCGGGACACAACACCGUAUUUAAAUGGCAGCACAAAUUCGGAUGCAACUUCGCCUGGUAUAUAACUGCUUGCUGGCUUUGAUGAGUUUCCGACAUGAAGCUAGCUUGUUCAAGAGUUACCAUCGUUCAUUGACUAACCUAGCAUGUUACCAGUCCCAAGUUUUGCAGGCUUCUGAACAGAUUUUUGUUGCCUCCUAAUUAUUUUUGCUGAUAUAGAUUUCAAAGGCACCAUGAUAUCCAAGGGACGAAGCACUUCUUCCAACUCAUUCCAUUCAAGAUCUUCAGAGUCACCAUCUUCAUAGACCACCCUGUACCAGCACAUUUCCUCAUCAUACUUGGCGACUUUUCCAGCAUAAUACUGUCCUCCGAAUAAUUUCAGAACUUCUCUUCCAACCAACCAUUCACCAAAACCAGGAUUUUCGUGUUGCUUAGCAUCGCUAACAACAUUACUAGUAGAAGGAGCAGAAUCUCUUGGACCCAUUGGAGGCAGGCCAUUUAUCACAAUGGCAGGUUCUCCUGGUAGCUGAAAGAUCCCUGUUACUGGCAUCUCUAAUUCUUCCACUUUGCACGCGUUGUCCAUUUAUACCAGGUAACGUCCUUAAUUUUGUGAAAACUAAUGUCCUGUCCAAAUAAGUUUAUGAUCGCAUUGCCAAAGAAGAAGCCUAAGAAAUUGAAAUGCAAACAAUGUCUGAUAGAAAGUUGUGUUCUUUUACAUGAAACCAACAAGCAGAACUCGCACUCAUAAUGAGUUUCAAGACUUGAAAAAUUGACCAAAUAAUGGCAUAUCCGUAAAUGAGGUUGUACUCUAACCUUAAAGGAAGUGCCAACAAAUAUUAACAUCCUCAACUAUAGGCAGAAAAGUAAAAUUUUUACUAUUAGUUUCUUCAACUGCAGAAUUUUUAAGUCAGCUUAAACCACACAAGUUAUCAUACUCGGGGGGAAAAAAAGAUAUCGAGAAUUCUACUUCCUCUUAGUUCCAUAGAGUUGGAAACCCAAUCCCCAUAUUCUCUACCUUUUGCUAAAUAGAUUUUCAGGAAACACCAAUAACUUGAUAACAUUAAUUUUAGGAAUAUAAAGUACAAAAACAGGAUGGCCCCUUCCCAAGUUUUAAGCUUUUAGCACCUCCAGACACUCAACUACCAACAAAUUCGAGAAAAACUGAUAAAAAUAACCACCCCACAAAUCAGAUUAGGAUAUAAAUUCAAAAGAAGCUUGAUUUAGGAAAAAGAAGGGCUAAUAAACAAGAGCUUUUCAGAAAUCCCAACCACAGAUGGAUUACUCAGUUGAUAGCCCCCUACUUAGCAUUCCUGCUGAAAGACCACAUUCAUAUUUUCUGGACAACUUUGAUUAGGCAAAAAACAGUACAUGCUAGCUAUUUCUUUUGACACCAACAACUUCCAAUUUUGAUGUAAUUAUUAAUUUAUAUUGGCAGUAAACAAACGUAUCAACUCAAGGGUAGCAGAAUAAGGGCAGAAGCUGGGGCAUAGUUCCCCUUUUGACAAAAAAAGUGACAAUGUUAAAACUCAUUUUGGAUAUUGACUCGCAUAUUAUGCUAGAAUUCUACAAGUAUAACAAAAAGCUACCACAAAGUAUAAAGAGAAUGACCAACUUUACUAUGUAGCUUACUGCAUGAGCAAAGGGUUUAUGCAACAGUUCAUGCUAGCUAACCAAGUAACAAAAAAAAAAAAAUAUCAGCGAGCAAAAAUAAUGUCAUUAGCAUAUAAAAAGUUAAAGACUAACUGAUGAACAAUCACAACCAAAAGAUCAUUAACCUAGCAUUACAUACCACCAAGAACCAUCAUUAAUAAAAGAAGCAGAAAUCCCACGCAGAUCCAAAGGAGAAAUUCAGCUUAUGAAAAUAAAUAGUUAGAUUAGUUUACACUGCAAAGCCCAAAAAUCUCCUAAUGCAUUCAUGGUUAAACACCUAAAAACCUAUAACUCAAGAUGCCUGAGACUAAUAAAACUGUUAAGCUUCACACAAACAAGUGUUUCCACCACUUAAAGGUACACUUGAAUUCAUGUUCCAAUCAUCAAGGGGCAAAUGGCAAGAAGUCAGAAUUAACAAGCAAAAAAAAAAAACCACAUAAAUGUCUGCUAACCAAACAAAACAAAAGGCUAGUGUAUGAACAAUUAUUCUCCCCUGCUUUAAGCAAUCAAAAUCUUAUCUUCGAACCAUCCUCAAAUAUAGCAUGUUUAAAACCUGAAUGCACAUCAUGUUACUGGUCUAACAAUUAUGACAUUGGAUUAGUGGCCAACCACAACUAUUAUUCACAAAAAGUUGACAAAUGAAAUGCAGACGGUCACGGAGAACUAGCCAAAUUCCACUACAUGAAUCGAAAGCUAGUCCAAACAAACAAGGUUCCACAUUGUGAUAUGGAUGAAAAGCUUUAGGGAAAUGCACUAAAAAAGCGCUCAAAAAAAAAAAGCUGAUACGAAAAACUUGGAAUUAAUCCAUUAGGGUUCUACAUGUACAGGAGAGAUUCAUGAGCAGCCAGGAGAGAUUACUUCUAUAAAUCAGUAUAUCCGCUCAGGUAUUUCAAUAACGUAAGGGCGUAGGAAAGUACCUAACACAUUAGUACUAGUACACCGUUUCCAUAAAUUUCAAGAAUUUUAUAAGCCAAGAAUAAUCAAAUUUAAAGAAAACAAAGACAAAAUAGGGACCAUUAUGGAGAAACGCAUCCAAGAAAAUCUGAUAAAAAUCCAAUACGCGAUUAGACUGUUAACAAGAAAUUAUCCGAUGAAUUUUUCAGUUGGCAAGAAACAUGUACCUCAGUAGAUAAAGAACAGUGAGAGCUGAGCUGCAAAAUAGUUUGAGAAGCCAAAGAAGAAGAAGAGGGACUUUGAAAAAAGGACGAAUCUUUUCUGAAGUUUCUUUCUCAGAAAUAAUUCUCAGAAAAAAUCCCCCAUUUUUCUUCUCUUCGUCUUCUCUGCUUCUCCUUCCUCGUCGGAGAACCCCCAAAGAAAACCCCGAUUUUUCUCUAGCCUCAAGUCUUAUAUUUGUCUAUUUUUUCUCUAUUUCUUCCUUAACUCUUUUCUUGCUAAAACCCGCUAAAAACCCGACUUCCCAGUCUUUUCAUUUGCAUCUAGAAUUCACCUGAGGCCAAAUUUGGGAGUGUAGGAGUGAGAAGAUGUAGUAAUCUUUCCAGUCUUGUUUGGCAGUUUGGUAAUUGAGGAGAAAUGAGAAUAAUUUUAAAACUUAUUUUUAAUUACCAAUGGAAUUUUCUUUUUUUAUUAUUUAUUUCCUUUAAUAUGUGGUGCUACAAAUUUUCUUAUUAACAAUAUUUAGGGGCAAUUUGAAACAAGUUUUCUUGUUCAAUCCCCAUUAAUUCAUAAUUCUAACAAAAACAUUUGUUGAUAAAUAAUGAAUAUUCGCAUUAGGUAUGAUACUAUAAUUCCUUUAGAUUUGGUAUUGGAUUAAUUUCCUCCUUAACAAAAUUGAUAAUCAAAAUUUCAUGCUAAUGAUGCUUUCUUUGCAAAUUGAUUUCAACAAUACUAGGUGUACUUUAUUCUUUUGUUAGCUCCUAUCAAUAAUAUAUAGAUCCACCCUAUGCUAUCUUUUCAAGUCUUUUUAAGUCAAUAAAUUUGGAAAUUCCUUAGUGCUAAAUAUUAUCGUUAUUAUUAUUACUGCUUAGAAAUAGAAUAGUUGUUUUUGAAUGUUUAAUAUACCGUAAUAUUUCAUAUAAAUGUGGCAUGAAAUUAAAAAAAAAAUGAUUGUAAAACUCAUUUUUUAAAGUUUCAAAAUACAAGCUUUUAAUAUCUGCUCUACCCCAAUAGAGCCUGUGGUAAUUUGUUCACCCCCUGAAAAAAAUCGUAUACUAGAAAUCGUAAAUGAGGACUGAUUUCUAUGCCCAUUCAAUACCUGAACAUUGUUGUGUUUGGGUUGCAAUUUUUUUGAAUUUUUGUAGAAAAUGUAUUGUAACAAUUUGAUAUAUAUAUAUAUAUAUAUAUAUAUAUAUAUAUAUAUAUAUAUAUGAGAUAAAAAGAUGAUUGAAAAAUAUGUUUACGAAAAACGUAAAAAUUUUUUGAUGAAAAAUCCCUUUCCAAACAAGGCCUGGCUUUAAACACCCUGCCCUUAUUAGCCUAAUGCUGAUUCCAUGAUAACUUUACAGGCUUGACCAGGGUGAUAGUUGUACAUAACAUAAUGCGAAUAAAUGGUGGUACCAGUAAUGUUUGUAACUGAUAUUAAAUUGCUCAAAUGUACAGGAAGAUGUGGGUUGAAUUAGAGAAAUAAUGUAGAUACUCUCUCCGUCCCAAUUAUUUAGUCAUGUUUCGGAAAUUUACUUUAGUUUGUUUGUUUCUCUAACAAAUGAAAACAAUACUAUCUAGAACACCCUAGAAAAAAAAAAAAUCCUUAGAAAAUGUCAAAGAGAGAGAUGAAAAAUAAAAGAUUUUUUUUUCAUUGCUUACCAUAAUAGCAAAUGGAUUUCAUAUGUUGUCAUUUUGAGCUUUGAUAAUUUGCUAUAUUAAGGCCUUGGCUGAGGCGAAUUGAAAUCUUCAUGAUCAAUGUUAACCAUUUAAGUUGGAGAAGCUUAAUUUACUACCCAUUUUUUCGUUAAGUAAACCUUACUGCCAUGGAUUAGCUCUCUCUCUAUAUAUUGCUCUUGUUAAAAACUCAUUUCGAGUAGAUUGAAGCAAAAAAUUUCAGCCGAUAAAAAUGAACAACACUAUACUGAAAACCCUUUUCACCCUACUUCUAUUCUCCAUUUUUCUGUCAAACAAUACAAAAAUCCAUGUUGCUUGCCAGAAAUAUAGUGUUCAUAUAGCCAAUAAUCUCCCCAACAAUGCAAGUUCCCUAGAUUUACAGUGCCAGUCAAAGGAUGAUGAUGUUGGAUUUCAUAUCCUUCACAUGUAUGAAGAGUUCCAUUGGGAGUUUCACAUAGGUUCUUGGGAAACCAGUUCCAGUGUAUACUCCUGUCAAUUUUGGUGGGCAGAAAGAAAUAAAAGUUUCGUAGUUUUUCACCAUGAUAUAGCUUUUCGUUAUUGCACUACUGGGUUUUUUGGUCUCGUGAACGACUGCUACUGGUAUGUGAAGGAAGAUGGUUUCUACCUCAGUAAUAGUGGUACAAGCGCCGUUGUAGCCAGUCUUCCGAGUAGACAUCACAAACAGAAAAAGAUGAUAGAUUGGUGACAAAAAUAUUCAUGUUGUUUCUAAGUUUCAUAUACUAUGAAUGAAUUCCUAUUAUGUCAACCUUCGUUCGAGGGGUAUUAUGUUCGUGUAGUCAAUAACCUUCCAAACAAUUCCAUUCCAUUAGUAAUGUAAUGUGUUGCCAAUCCAAAGAUGAGGAGCUUGGAUGUCACACUCUUCGUUUCAACGAUGAUUUCCAUAGGAAAUUUCGUCUAGAUUAUUUCGAAACAACUUCACACGUCUGUCAUUUUCAAUAGGGUAAAAGGCAUAGAAAUUUUAUAAUUUUUAACUUGGAUUUGGCUCGUGAAUUUUGUGGCAAAAUUAUAUACAGGCUCAACAAAUGCACUUGGUUUGUGAAGGAUGAUGGCUUCUAUAUCCAUGAAAAGGUUUUUUCUUAUUUUUAUAAUAGGCUGAUAAAAGUGAAAGCGUGGUUGUAACUCGCAAAUUGUAUUUUUUUGUUUUGUUAGUAGAAAAGAUGAACAAGACAAUUACAUACAAUUGCAUCAAAGAGGCUUUACCAUUCAUUUUCUUGCAAUUUCUUAUUAAAGUAUGUCUAAUUUUAUGUGGUUAUUAAAAUAUGCACAGGUGGAUAUGACUAUGAAUGUAGAAAACCACUCUCUAAGGUAGUGGCUUUCUCUCUCUAGUUUGAGAUUCUCUCCCCAAGGUGGGAGCUUUCCAACAACCAAAAGUUCAAACUUUCAAAAAACUUUUGCGCUCUAAAACUCAACAAACACCACCACCAACACAAUCGUGAUCCAAGAACCUUUAAUAUACUAGAGUCCAAAUUGAAGCUCCACCUUUACCAGAUAUUUAAAGCAGAAGUGCUAGCUGAAACUCCACCAGAAAAUCCAAGUGGCAGGGAUGAUGUAUACCCAGAAGCAACAUUGCUGACCAUCUAAAGAAGCUUAGUUACAAGCAUCUGCGGGUGUGAAAGUACGAAAGGAACAAAGACUACUAAAUAGGCGGUAAACUUUCUAGUUUACAGUUCUUCCCAUGUUCUUGUGCGGUCUUCAUGAGCUAAGAAUUUCAUAAAUCCUUAACCUUGCAAGAUCUCUGUGUUCUUCUCAGUGUUUAUCUCAGUGUUUCUUUGUUUGUUUGUCUAAAAUCUUCUUUAAAUUCUGCCUUUUCUGUAUGUGUUGAGUAGAUUGAGUGUUUUGAAGGUUGCACUGCUUUAUUUUUUGCUGGCUUAGUCAGUUUCAUCUUAGGAGUACGUGGACCUGUUACAUUUGGCUGUGAUUAGCGAGGGAGUCCCCCAAGUAUCUGGUCUAUUAGUCAUGGAGGACGAUUUGGCAGAGAUUGUUCAAAGAUUUGCUCUAUCAUUGUCAGAAAUGCAGGGAGCUGAAUUAGAUGCAAAGGAUGCUGACAAUGGCAUAAUGGAACGCCAAAAUAGUUUAAUUGGAAGAAUUAGGGGUGAAAAAAUUGCAAAUUUCACAGGUGUGAAGAAGUUUGUUACGGCAGCAUGGGGAUACCCAAAGGAGUUAGGAACAACGGAACUUGGACCAAAUCUAUUCCAGUUUAUCAUUCCAAAAGUGGAGGAAAGGGAAAAAAUUCUGAAUGGAGGACCAUGGAUUAUGGAUAACCAGAUCCUGGUACUUAAACCAUGGAAAGCUGGGAUUGAGGAGGAUGAGGCAGCUUUUAAUCUAGUUCCAUUAUGGGUACAGGUUUGGAAUUUGCCCAUACAUUGGAUUGCAAAGGAAGUUGGCAGGAAAAUAGGAAGUAUAUUUGCAGAAGUGAAGGAGGUAAUCAUACCACAAGGGGGAGGAAAAGAAGGGAAACACUUGAAAAUGUGGGUUACAAUGGACUUAAGUAAACCCCUUCCUAGAGGGACAGCUGUGAAAUUGGAUGGAGGAUAUAAAUGGUUACAGUUUAAAUAUGAAAGAUGUCCGGAUUUCUGCUAUCACUGUGGAAUGAUUGGACAUAGUGAGAGGGGUUGCAAGACACAAAUAAUACUAAGCAGAGGACAAAGUGAGAACCAAUAUGGUCCUUGGAUGAGAGCAGGUGGGGGGAAAUUAUCACCACAACAGGAAAAGAGCUACUCGAACAGCAAAGUUAAUGAUAGACAACAUUGGUUUUACAGGAAUGGAGAACUCAUCCCUAAGUUCCAGGCUCCUACAUUGGCACAGAAGGAAAUCUUAGAAAAAUGUAAGGCAACAAGGAAUAUGGGACAAAGAGAGGAAGGAGACAGGAGCUACAAACCUAUCACAUCAAGGAUGCUCCCUGAAAGGAACCAUGAGGAAGAUGUAGGAAAAGAUCAGGAAAUGGAGGGAGGACAGCUGAGAUGGGAGCAGGAGGGGAAUGAAGGGAAGUCAGCAGAUUCUGAUAACAAUAACUUGGAACAACUGACUGACGAACCAAGAACACAGCAACCAGUGAAUCCAGAGAUAGAGGAGUGUGCAAAAGGAGAAUCCAACAAUGACCUGCUGGUAGGGAACAAAAGCAAAGAGUUAGAAUGCAUGCAAGUAAAGUCAGAUACACAAGAGACUGGUGAGGUACAGAAAACAAAAGGAGUAGGAAAGACCAAACGAGGAGUCAAAAUGCAAUACAGGAAGAGACAACCUUUAAUGGACAUCACAGGACAACAGAAUGAGGUACAAGAUCUGGGAAAAAGAAAAUUCCAGUUGAGAGAUGAAGAAAUGGCAGAGGUUGCAGGACAGGAUCAGACAGGCAAAAAGAUAAGAUGUGAGAAUGCAAGCUAUCAGAGUGGUUCACAAGGGGAAGGAAUGGGGAUCAGCAUUGAAGGGAUGGGGAUCAGCCUCAACUGGUCCUCCAGUAAUCCAUGAAGAUAAUGGUGUGGAAUUGCCAAGGAGCAGGGAGCCCCUUGACAGUUCCCCAACUGAGGGAGUUUUUUAACAAACUCCUCUCCCCUGAUAUGAUUAUGAUGAGUGAAACCAAAAAUAAGGAAAAUGUGAUGCAGAAAAUCCAAAAAAAAACUGGGAAUGGAGAACUGUUAUGUAGUGGAUGCAGUUAAUAGAGCAGGUGGAAUGGCGCUAUUUUGGACAGAUGCCAUUAAAAUAAAAGAACUACAACAUACUGAAUUCACCAUUGAAGCAUUGAUAGAAGAUGAAGAAACAAGGGUGAAUUGGAGGAUAAUAGCAAUCUAUGCCAGCUGUGAAAGACAGGUGAGGAAGCAACAAUGGACCACAAUAACUGAGAGGAAAAGAUUGUGGGGUGAGAAAGUGAUGAUUAUAGGUGAUUUCAAUGAUAUAAGGUGUAAGGAAGAAAAAUGGGGUGGAAGAGAUAGAGAAGAAUGGACUUUUAGAGAUUUCAGAGAGUUCAUUAGGAGGAACAAUCUAGUGGACAUAGGUUUUGAAGGAGAGCCAUGGACGUGGAGGAAUAGCUGGGAUGAAAAAGUAGAAAUAAAAGAAAGACUAGACAGAGGCUUAUGCUCCCCUGAGUGGCUAGAGGUGUUUAACAAUGCUAAAUGUACACAUGUUGAAAACUGGGCAUCAGAUCAUAGCAUUCUCUUACUAGACACUUGCCCAGCAAACAAAAGGAGGAAAAAAAGAUUUUACUUUGAUAAAAGAUGGGUGCAAUAUGAGGAUGGAUUUCAGGUAGUCAAGGAGGCUUGGAAAACGCCAUGUGAUGGAUCCAGAAUGUUUAAGGUGACUAAGAAAAUCACAAACUGCAGAAUAAGUCUCCUGAAAUGGCACAAAAGCAAGAUAGGAAAUACAAAAGCAAAGAUAGAUGAAAUCAAAGGCAUACUAGAAGGAAAAAGGGGGCAGGAGAGAAAGAUGUCAAAGGAGGAAGUGAGGUCCCUGAAGGUACAAUUGAAAGCAGCAUACCAGGAAGAAGAAAAAUUUUGGAGUCAAAAAGCAAGAGUGCAAUGGCUGCGGGAGGGGGACAAGAAUUCUAAAUACUUUCAUGCGGUGGUCAAUGGAAGAAGGAGAGCAAACAAGAUGAACCAAUUGCAGAAAGUGGAUGGAAGCUGGACAGAUUCAGAAGAAGCAGUGGGGGAGGAAAUAGCUAAAUACUACAGGCAAUUGUUCACUGCCUCAAGGACAGCAACAAGAGAGGACUGCAUUCAUGAGAUACUUGAGGGAAUUCCAACAAAAAUCACGGAUCAAAUGAACAGAAUCCUGAUCAAGCCUGUGGAUGAACACGAAAUUAAGACAGCAGUGUUUUCAAUGAAUCCCAAUAAAGCUCCGGGAAAUGAUGGUAUGUCACCUCUAUUUUUUCAAACUUAUUGGGACAUCAUUAAAACAGAUAUUGUUGAGGCAGUUCAAGCUUUUUUUCAUUCAACUCACAUGCUCAAUUCCAUAAACCAUACUAUUGUGUCCUUAAUUCCCAAAAUCCCCAUUCCUACUGGAUUAAUGCACUACAGGCCCAUUAGUUUGUGUUCUGUCCUAUACAAAAUCAUCUCAAAAAUUCUAGUGAAUAGGCUCAAACCUGUGUUAGAUUUGUGCAUAAGCAAAAAUCAGUCUGCUUUUGUGGCAGGCAGACAGAUUCUUGAUAAUGUUAUCCUAGCUCAUGAGUUCCUACACAAUCUGAAAAACAAAAGGAAAGGGCACAUGGGAUAUAUGGCUGUUAAAUUGGAUAUGUCUAAAGCCUAUGAUAGGGUCGAAUGGGAUUACUUGAGAGCUAUGAUGGAUAGAAUGGGAUUUUGUGAAACUUGGACUAAUUGGAUUAUGGAAUGUAUUACUACUGUGUCUUAUUCCUUCAGUGUUAAUGGAGAAGCAAGAGAGUAUGUAAAGCCGGAAAGAGGACUAAGGCAAGGUGACCCUCUGUCACCUUACCUUUUUCUGAUCUGCUCAGAGGGCUUCUCAAGUCUACUCAGAAGAGCAGAGGCAAAGCAAACAAUGACAGGAAUGAAGAUCAGCAAAAAUGGACCUGCACUAACCCAUCUCUUUUUUGCAGAUGAUUCACUGAUUUUAAGCAAAGCAGAUCAAGAGGGAGCCAAAGAGUUGAAGGCAAUUCUAAAAACAUAUGAGACAGCUUCAGGUCAGCUUAUCAAUUUGGAGAAAUCUUCUGUCUUUUUCAGCAAAAGUACUGAACAGAAAACAGUGGAAGCAAUAAAGGAAGAGCUGGGGGGAAUCCAGGCAGUGAGUCAAGGGAAAUACUUGGGAUUGCCAAUGGUUAUUACAAAGACCAAAGAACAAAUAUUUGGUUUCAUAAAGGACAAGAUUAGAAAGAAAAUGGACCACUGGAAGACAAAAUUGCUGAGUCAAGCUGGCAAGGAGACCUUGAUGAAAGCAGUGACUAUGGCUACCCCAACUUAUGCCAUGUCUUGUUAUAAACUCCCCAAGAAGUUAUGCAAGGAAAUCGGUUCCAUGAUGGCAAGGUGCUGGUGGGGACAACACGAUCAGAAAAACAAGCAACAUUGGAUAGCAUGGGAAAAAUUCACCAAGAGCAAGGAAGAAGGUGGAAUGGGAUUCAGGGAUAUCCAAAUGUUCAACAAGGCUUUGCUGGCAAAACAAGUUUGGAGAGUAAUGACUCAACCAAAUCUGUUGGUCAGCAAAGUUUUGAAAGAGAAAUAUUUUCCACGAGGCUCAGUUUUAGAAAGCAAAAUGCCAAAAAACGCAUCCUGGAUUUGGCAAAGCCUAAUGAGUGCAAGAGAGGUUAUUGAAUAUGGCUGUAUAAAGAAAGUGGGGAAUGGAAGAAGCAUUAACAUCUGGAGGGACAAAUGGAUUAACAAGGAUAGUGGUGGAAGGAUAAAGACACAGAAACCAGAGGACAGUGACCUGCAAAAAGUCGCAGAACUCAUGGUUCAACAUAGAUGGAAUAGAACCCUGAUCUACAAAGUCUUCAACAAAGAGGAUGCAGAACAGAUACUGAGCAUUCCAAUAAGUUGGUCUGAUCGAGAGGAUAGCAUGAUAUGGAAGCACAACAACAAUGGCCAAUACACAGUGGCAGCUGGAUACAAAAUUUUGCAGCAAAAGGAAAGAGAUAAGAAGGCAAAAAGAAGCAAAGAGGAGGGAUGCAGCUAUCAACAAACAGACAGGAAACUAUGGAAAGUAUUAUGGAAGCUGCCUAUAAAACACAAAUUGAAAAUAUUUGUGUGGAAGUGCAUAAACAAUGGGUUACCAGUCAAGGCUCAAAUUUUCAACAGAACAAGAAAAGGAGAGCCUAUUUGCUGUGGAUGUGGUGAGAGGGAGGAGACCAUUGAGCACGUACUACUUCAGUGUAAGAAAGCAAAGGAAAUCUGGAAAUUUGCUUUGGUACAAUGGGAUGGACUACAAGACCAAACUGGAUGCUUCAAACAGUGGUGGAAUAUGUUGAUGAAUGCAAGAACUAGGACUGAAGGGGAAGAUCACAUAGCAUUAACUGUUAAUGUGCUAUGGCAGAUAUGGAAAGCCAGAAAUGCAAGAGUUUUCAACUGCUCACAGCAGGAACCUUUUAAAGCAAGUGAAAAGGCAACUGAGGAGUGGAAGGAACACAUGGAAGCAAUGCAACACAAUCCGAGAAAGAGUACAGCAGAAACAAGAAGGCAAACUGGAAAUGAACAAGGGGAACUAGAAGAUGCUGAGACUGUAAUUCUGAAGCUUGCAGUCCAACACCAAAUGGAACACAAAUCCUUUGGAAUUGGCAUCACAGCCGUAAAUGCUGCAAAUCAAGGGAUAGCAGCUUGGUCACUAAGAGAAAGACAAUCAGGGAACAAAGAUCAAGACUUGGCAGAGGCUGUGAGAUUAUGCAUGGUCAAGGCGGCAAGAAAAGGAUGGAGGAAAAUCAAGAUACGAGCGGGAAACAAGAAGAUGAUGGAACAGUUUCAGAAUGGGAAAGCUGGGAAUAUAGCAAUAGCUGCUAUCAUGGAGGAUGUCCAGCAAAUGUCAUUAUGGUUUCGAAUGUGCUCUUUUGUGCGAUUGAAUGAUAAUCCUGAUAGCUUAUGCUACAGCUUGAGCAAAAUUGCUCUUUUGAAUUUUUGUGACAUGGAGUGGAACUACGCCACUCCACAGUGCUAACUGCACCUUUGUAAAGAUAGGAGCCUUUGCUCCAAAAUUGUACAGUUCUGAUGUUAUAAAAUUUCUAUCGUUUCGGGAAAAAAAAAAUUAAAAUAUGCACAACUAUAGCACUUCUUAGUUAGUCCUUACCACUUCUAGUUCUAAUAGGACUUCAAUAUUGGGUGCAAAGUUAUUUAACAUAAGAUAGAUGCAGAUGCACCUUUGGUAAUACUGGGUGCAACUAUUUGUCCAUUUUUGCAUCACUAUUGAACAAUUAUGCUGGAGAACGUUUUGUCAAACCAGUGCGUUUCUUUCUUUUUGUCAGAGUGAAAGAAAAAUAAACUGCCAGGUUGAUACCAUCCAAUCUAUGACAUCCACAACUGGCAAGAACCUGGAGUUUUGAUAAGAUACAGAAAGAGAGAGACAGCUUUCCUGGCUCUUAAUGCAAGGCACCAUGAAUACACAGAAAUAACUGUAUUUUCACAAGAAAUCUCCAUUGCAAGUGACAUGUAUUUCAUGUAAUUGGGAGACUGCAGCAUAGUCUUUGAGCUCCUCAAGGAAAGGAUGAAACUGUCUGGGAAUCCGGGGAAAAUCAACACAUGACAUCCACACAUGACGAAAAUCUCAAAACAACUCCUUUCCAUGUUUUUCUUUAGUUCAAGUAAGCCAAGCCAUUACUGCAUCCUAGUUGCUGGCUCUCUACUAAAUGGCAAUGUUGAAUCUCUUGGCAAACAUAUCUGUAAACCAAUUACAAAAAUACUACACAAUAAAUACUAUUCUCGCUUUGAAUGAGCAAUGAAGCCAUCUGUAACACUUCUAUACCAGACCAUGCAUCAAGCAAGAAUACUAAAAUACACAGAUCUAGAAUGUUAUACAGUAGGACCUCUCUACCUAUAGAGCUCAAUAUCUCUUAGUCCAACCCCAAAAAAAAAGGGGUCAUUCAGACAACUCAGUGCUAAUCCUCAUCAGACGCACUCUCCACCUCCGAAGUACCAGCUUCAUAGCAUUCAUCACUUGUUUCAAUCUCUUCUUCUUCGCUUUGACCUUCAACUUUGUCCUCUUCGGCUUCAUCAAUCAAACUGUCCAGCUGAGGUAGAACUUCAAUCCCUUUACAUCGGUAUACCAACCCAGUUCUCAUUACAUGAUGAAACUUAUCCCUGUGUCGAGCAACAGGAUGUCGCUCCACUAGUCUUCCCCUGCGGUACCCCUCUCUCAGUGCAACAGUAGUUGUCUUACAUUUUAGUGAUAAGUAAAAUAUCCCUGGGUACCUGGUAAAUAGUCGAGUAAACCUGUGGGGAAGAAUUAACUCCUCUCUCAAGGACCUCAAGUAAUUCCUCUUUGUCUUCUUGUAAAUAGUCAAGCUCAAAAAUUCAUGGAGCACACCAACAACUCUCUUCUCCAUAAGUUCACUAUUUGGGUCAAUCCUCCUGGAAUCCUCAUAGGGAGAGAUGUAGGGAAGCUUUUGAAAUUCCUCCAUCCAUGCCUUCACCUUCUUUUGAGCCCCAUAGCCUCUGGGAAAACUCAUUGGGAACUCUAAAGCUGAUUUUCCCCUCUUGAAUUCCCGAUACUUAUAAGCACUUCUUCCAUCAGCACCAUUAUCACUUUCUAAUCCUCUCUUCUCAUUGCUCUUUUGCAGCUCAGAUACAGCAAAUUCUUCUUGCCACUGAACAAGCUUCAAACAAGCCAAUCCACUUGUUCCUUUAACAAUCUGCAAAUGAUCUGGGAACCUUUUGACUAAAUUCUUGUCAAAAUCAUCUGGCAAACCAAAAUCCCAUUUCAACGGAUGUAUUGAUUGCAGAGGUAUCUGCAUAUAUAACAAACAAAACUCAUAAUCCAUGAAGAUAUAAAGCAUCCAAACUUGCACAUUAAUUUGAUGGUGCAACAUCACCGCAUCAUGCUAGCAUUCAACAAAUACAAGAAAAGUGAUCAUAUUUAUUCAUGUGUUGUCCUCUAUAAGUAUUGACACAAGAUCAAAUCAGCUAAAAAAGGGCAGAUCUCUUGUCUAUUCUAGCUCACAGAAUUCCAUGAUAUAUAUAUAUGCAUAGGAUGCAAAAGCGAAGACAAAUAUCACCAUUGACACCACUUCACAUCAUUGUUGAUUCUUAGGACAAAAUCCAUAAAGGUAGCACGAGAAAUAAUUCAUCAACUCUUCAAACAGUAAGAGCUGACCGUCAACAAAUUUUUAUACAGGAAGACACAUCUCAACACAAAUAGACCUCCAAACUAUUCACAUCAACUCCUUGGCAUUGGCAGACGAACAAAAGCAUAUCAACCAAAUUGCACAAGAACGGUCAAAUUUUUUGGUUCAUAUGUUUCUCCUUCAUCAAAGAUAGCCCGACGUCUGCAAGUUUAAAAAUCAAAUAUUUAUCCGUUUGAUGCCGAACUUAAUUAAAGCAUAAAGCAUAAAACAUAAAGCAUAUUUACCCAACUAAAACAAGACAUAAACCAAAAAAAAAAAAACCACACAAAAUUUCAGUAAGUAAAAGUGAAAGCAAAAUGAGCAUACCAUUUGGGACUUGGACAUCAUGAGGAGGCGGCAAAGCCUUUCAACCAAAUCAGUCUGGCAUUCAUCAAAGACCUUCAUUUCUUGCUGACGAAGCAAUUUGGCAACAUGGGUCAGCUCAAAACAGGCCAAAGAAGGCCAUUUGGGGUGAGGGAACUCGUGGAAUAAAGUCGGGAAUCUGCGAAUGAAACGCAGCGUCGGGACAGUGAUGCCCAAUAGCUUCUGGGUAUUUUCCAGUGAUUUGGAGGUCAAAUAGCCUGUGGAGGAGCGUGCUAUAGCGUCCUUGAGAAGGCAGGCGGCUUUAAGGUCUGUUUGGACGUCGAUUAUGUGGUCUAAGGACCGGUUCUUCACCCAUUUCAGCCGGACUUUUACUAUUGUUCUGAUUUGUUGGAAAUUGCAUAGAAGAAAUUGGCCCUUGCUUCUUCCGUUCAUGAGUGAGUGAAAAAGAGAAAAAAAAAAAAAGAAGGCGGGAAGAAGAACGAAACGCCGCCGUAAGGAGGCGGGAGGGGUACCUGUCCUCUAUUUGAGUGUGUGUGAACCGGAGGAGGAAGAAGAAAGGUGGGAACAGCCAACGACGUCGUUUAUUUUUUUCUCCGAAUGUAAAACUUAAUUGGGCCUUUAUUGUGUUUCUUUUGAUGAUGUUAAGUCUAGUUUGGGCCAACUCACGAUUCCAAACCUGACCAAGUUCUCUUUUUUUUUUUUUUUUUUAAAUGGUUUGUUAUGUUAUUUAAUCUAUAAAUAUGAAAUUGACUUUUUUUUUUUUUGUCAAUUAACACCACCCUAUUCGUGUGCUAAUAUAUUAUAUAUAUAGUAGAAGAAACUCGAACUAAGUCAAGGGAGCUAAAGAUAACAAGGAAAAACUUCACACCCUUUAGAUUUAAUUACAAUUGUAAAGAAUUUUGGAUUUAAUUCUUUCUAGAUUUAAUUACAGCCGUAAGGGAUUCUGAAUUUAACUUGCUCUAGAUUUAAUUACAAUUAUAAGAUAUUUUGAAAAAAAAUGAAUUUUUGAAAAUAGAAUAUUGUCAAGUGCUAGUACCACUUGAGUACGGGGUAAGAAGGCACACUUGAGACGAGCCAAUCUCUAUUUUGGCCAAAGAUUAAUUGCCUAAAAACUGAAAAUUCCCGCAGAUGACAGAGGGUUGAAUUCAUAAUUAUUAACCCCAAUCCGUUGCCAGAGAAAAGGUAACCAAGAAAAUUCUUGUAAACAAAAGGGUAAAAUACCAAAAAAACUCCAUGUGAUUUGAUAAAUAUUCAAUUUAACUCCCUCUAAUUUGGAAGCCUAUACUAUAACUCUUUGUGGUGUUGACUAAAUUGAAAGUUGGACAGAAAGCAUCCAAUCCAACGAUUGUGUGUGAAAUGUAAAUAUUUCCCCUGCUAUAUGUAAGAUGCUUUCCAUUCAAUUUUUAAUUUAGUCGAAAUCACAGGAAAUUAUAGUGUAAUUUUUCAAACUAAAGGGAGUUAAAUAAACAUUAGACAAAUAAUCAUAGAGAGUUCAUUUAUAUAGGGGCAAUACUGACAUUUCACGUAUAAUCGUUAGAUUGGAUACUUUCAGUCCAAUUUUCAAAUUAGUUAAAACCACGUAGAGUUAUAGUGUAAGUUUUCAAAUCAGAGGAAGUUAAAUUAAAUAUUUAAUAAACCACAAAGAAUUUUUUUUGUAUUUUAUCCUAAACAAAAAAGGCUUUACAUUUACUGGAUAUAAGCAUAUCCUUGCCUUGGCAAGCCGCGCCAACUUGUUUUUUCUUGAUUUUGAUUCAAACACGCAGCAAUGGUAACUUUUUUGUCCUGAACGUUCAAUUCAACUGAGCAAGAGGCUAGGCAUACGAUCAGGAGCUUUUCAAAGGGAUGUCUAGAAAAGGAACAGACUGUUUUAAUUGCUGAAGCAAAAUUUGCUUAGGACUAAUAUGGGCUUUGGGCAAUUAAGAAUUUUAUGAUUGCCCCUGCUCUGAAUUAGGCCCUCUCCAUUCCCUCGUUUAAAUCCUGCACCAACUCUUUUCUUCUCCCAAGCCAUUUUCAAUUUUCCGCUGCAACAAGAUAAAGUGAUAAACCUCCGUCCCAAACCCCCCUUCUCCCCCAGUUCAAAGUCCCCGCGCGCAGCCCCUUAUCUAAUUGCCGUUCAAGGUAUAUUUUUUGCUCUGACCUCGUCUUCUGUACUUGUAUAGUGUCUUUUUUACUUAUCUGGAUAUGCAUGUAAGGUGAAGAACACUAUUUUGGUGAUAUGUGCAAUUAGACAUGUGAUAAACGUUCAGCAAAAUUUGUAUGGUUCUAUGGAGUAACUGAAAUAAGCCCUCUUGGGUUUCCUCUCUUGGCUGUGCUUGCUUACUAAAAAGAUUGAAUUUUGAUGCUGUGGAAACCAGUAAUUGUAGUCCAUCUCUUGUUCACUGAGUAGAUAAAGUAAAAGUCAGCUGUCUUUUUGGCUGCUUAAUUGAAAUAGAGUAGGAAAAGAGAUAAAUUUAUAUCAACAGUUGCAAUCUGCUAAAACUGAAUUUGUGAAUUUACUGUCAAGGGCUGGAGCAAAGCUGGUAAACUACGGAAUUUGAGUAUGAUUGAUUAGUUUGUUGACAAACUUUACUGGGUACUAGGUAACUAAAUUGGUGAAUUUACUGUCAAGGGAUGGUGCAAAGCUGAAAAACUACGGAAGUUGAGUAUGAUUGAUUAGUUUCUUGACAAACUUUGCUGGGUACUAGGUAAGAGCUUGGCUACAUUGGUUUACUUGGCAAGCCAAGCCGGAGAUUGGGUCAAAUCAAAUGGCAUUAGAAUUUUCAUUUGUUAGCUCGUUGAGCUGUUCUUAAUUUUUAAACUAGUAUAAGAUGUGUUCAACCUUCUUUUAUUUGCUUGAACCAUCCUUGGGAGUAUUCAUGACUUGAGUUUGAAUUUCUUGAUUCAUUGAAUUACCUGAAGGGUUCUUUUUUUUUUUAAUUAGUUUGCCGCAAAAACUGAAAGAGAAAGGGCAGGGUCUCAAAUGGGAAGUGGGUAGGGGCAGGGGUGGAAAGUAUUUUAAAGCAAAUAUGAUUUAUGCAAAGAAACAAUGCUUUAUUUUAACACCCGUCUAAGCAUAGAAAAAAUAUCCUUCGACUUCCUUAGUUGUUUUACAAGUUGAUUUGUUUCCUUUCCUCGCCAAUUUAGAAUGUUGUCUUAUACUUGUCUGCAUCAGUACUUUGCUUCUUUCUUUUUCUGGAUUCGUCAGGGAUAUCAUUUUAUACUAGACUGUUCCUAGCACUAUUUCACUCCAUGUUAGAGUUGAGCUUGAGUUGAGGUGUGUCUUAUCAGACCAAGCUGAAAUUUGAUGGCAGUCUGUUGUUCAUUGCAAUUUGACAUAUUUUGUUCACUUAUAAAAGUUUUUCACAACACCAGGGUUAUAGGUUUUUUGUUGUCUCUACUUAAAAGAAAUAGUGUGUGAGAUGCAUAUGCUUUUCCAAUCAUUCCAUUUCCUAUCUACUGCUGUUUUUCGUCAAGUAGAAAGUUACUGUUUUUAGGAACCAUAGAAAGUGGAGUGCAUCAUUUGGAAAGCGAUCGCAAAUUUAUAAAAGAUACUUUCAACUAUGAGAAUUCUCAAGAAUAGUUGGUCCACUUCCACUUCUGAUGAAUUGGAAACCAUUAAUUUCGAGAGUCAAUGAUUAGGAAGUCUUAUUAGGAUUUCAAAUUUGCAAACAGUUGAGCCCUGAUAUCUUGAUUGUCAUGCUAUAAGCAUUUGCAAGUUGCAACCCUUCUUAUAUGUGUUUACUUAAUAAGAAAUCAGUAGGGGAUGGAGGAAAAUGGCAGAAAAGGAGAAAAGAGGGAGAGGAGCAAUAGAGAAUCUGCCUAGUGUCCAGUAAUUCUAAGGAGUAUUGGAUGAGUACAGUUCCCUUUUGGAACAUUAUCAAGUCAUGCAUAUGAUGGAAUUGUUCAAUGUAAAGCUGGAUCUCCUUUCCUGAUCAUGUGGCUUGUUUUAAUCAGAUUGGCAGAGAGAGAUAAAACUGAACAAAUUUUCUGGCAUGCGGACGGAAAUGCUAUGGUAAUGUUAGCAUUUUGUCUCCACCAGUUACUGUGACAAUGCUAAAGAAGUGACGGAUUUUUUACCUCUCCCAUACGUGAAACUAAAGAUCCUCCUUUGCACCUAUAAACUGUGAUAUCAUGAGUUCUAUCUUCUCACCGACCUCUCACCUCCGACUUGCACCACUAUAUCAUAGAUUAGGAAGUAAUCUACAUCUACAGUCCCUCUGUUGUUGCUUUAAGCUGUGCCAUUUCCUUGGUGGUCGACAGUCUUCAGUUUUGUGUAAAUUCCCAACCAUUUCGCCUAAUCCCAAGCUCAAGUUUCAAUCGACUCUUGGGGGUACAAGUCCUGCAAAUGAAGGAACAGUUUCUGCGAUUAAUUUUGAAGAUUUAAUGGAGAAGGAUUGGUCAUUUCUUGAGCACGAUGAUAAAAAUUCUAAGGAACAGCACAACCAGAAGCAAGAUCAGAUCAUUUCUGCAGGGGAGGUUGGAGAAACUUCAAGGGUUCUAAUUUCAAUUGGUUCUGAAGAGUUUGUUGAUAAAAUUUUUAAUUCUUCACCUUGUGAGCAAUUGCUUGUUGUUCAUGACUCGUUGUUUAUAUUAGCAAGCAUCAAAGAAAAGUAUGACAAAGUGAAGUGUUGGCAAGGCGAAUUAAUUUAUUUACCAGAGAAGUGGGCACCUUUUGAUGUUGUGUUUUUAUACUUCCUUCCUGCUUUGCCAUUUCAACUUGGCCAGAUUCUGGGAACACUUGCCAAGCAUUGUUUGCCAGGUAAUCUUUAUCACAUCUGCCCUCUUUUUAAGACUUCAAAUGCUGUAUUUCAUGUUGGCUUUGCAUCUCUCGUGCAAAAGCCUUAGUGAUCUGUCACUGACUGUAUAAAUUAUAACCUAACCUUACAUUGCUGCACCCGAUGCAAAAAUGAAUUUUACUAAAUUGAGGCCCAAGUAUAUCUUUUGUUCUUCCAUGUAUUUUACUUUGAAAACUAAUGAGAUUCUAUAAUGAACUGUAGUAGUCGUUUCUGGUUUGGUGCUUUUGAAAAAUUACUAAAAUACUUGGGAUUGUGUCAUUGUGGGUUGAGAUGAACUUUCUGGAUUAAACUUUAGUAUGAAAAAUUGCUUUGUUCAAUGUUUUUAUGAUAUUUCUCCCGUGCAUUAUCAGGUGCAAGGGUUGUGAUAAGUCAUGUGCAAGGGAGGCAAAUGGUUCAAGAGCAGCAAAAACAAUAUCCUGAUGUAGUAGCCGCCGAGUUGCCAGACAAGACGACUUUGCAAGAUGUUGCUGCUGAUAAUACAUUUGAACUGGUGAAGUUUGUGGAUGAACCUGGAUUUUACCUUGCAGUCCUGAAAUUCCAGACAGAGAACCUUGUUAGAUAGUUUUUACAUGUGCUCAAUUCAAGAAGGUUUUGUAGUGUAUCAAUGGUUGUGCCUGAGUUCCUCAGUACUCUUUAUUGUUCAAGUAGUUAAGAGUUACGGUUGUUUUUCUUCGCCUUUUUUUGUGGUACGUUUUGGAUUUUGUAGUUUAUCGACAAUUUUAGACCUUGAAUUCGAUGACAAUUGGAGCUUCAUCAAUCAAUAACUUGGAUUGGACCUCAAACCAUUUUGUGCACCUCUCCUUGAGCUACUACCAUCUCCAAUGCCGGCAAAUUGACAAAUGAUAAUCUUGAAGUACAGGAUCUGCUGAGACAUUGGCCUCGCAUUUUCUUAGCUUUGCAUGCCAACAAUUUUUAGUUCCGAAUAGAGCUGUUAACGAAUCGAGUUGUUCACGAACAAAGCUCAACUUGACUUGUUUAAUCUAAGAGCAUGACAUUUGAUUAAACAAAUCAAGUUCAAACUCCAAAUCAAGAUAGAUUAUUUGUUCACGUACUUUGGUUGUGAUCGUGAAAACAAAAGUUAUAUAAAUGACGUUUAGAGUUACACUCAUCAUUUUCAUCUUUAUCUUAGUAGUAAGCAUCCAUGUUUGACUUAACUUGCUUCAUAUUGUUCCCUCCUUUUAUUUCUGCUUCAUGUUCAUCAAUAUUUAAACGUUUCUUUUUAAUCAGAACUAAACUAAAUAAUUUUUUAAACAAAAUUCAUAUUAGAACUCGAGCACAAGUUCAAACUUAUCUUGUUUUCUGUGAAACGGGUCGAGAUUGAAUUGAAUUUGAACUUAUCAGUUCAAUAAGUACAAAAUUAGACGGCCUGUUUAUUUAAGCAAACGAUAAAGCAAAGAAUUUGAUAUUUCAAAUGGCUUAAACAACCAAUAAGAAAUGUGAAAAGCUUGUUUAGAAGAAAGAUGCAGAAGAGUUGGUGCUACUGAAAAUGAUUAUUUGCCUUAAUGGUUUUCAAUGGAGGUGCAAAAUUGGUUCCAAUCACUCCCAACGGCCAUGGUUGCUUACAGCAAAAGGAAGGUACAUAGAAGUUAAAUACACGCAGUGUAAAAGUGUUUCUGCAGUUAAAUUUCCCAGAAUAAUUAAUGAGAAUAGAUAUGGAAUGCUGGUUCAAAUGCUUAGCUCAGAUUUCAAACAAAACGCACACUGAAUAACUAAUCGCAGUUCUUCUAUAGAAAUUGCAAGAAGGGACACUAUCCCGGGAAAAGCUCCAUUAACUUCAAAAAGUUGAUCUCAUACAGAAAACCUUAAACCAUUCUGCAACUUUCUCAAACUCUCUUUCUACACAAGGAACUCUAAGAAAAACAAACAAAAUAAUUCAAUCAACUAAACCAUAAAAAGAUGCUAAAAUUUUCAGAGGAGGAUUAUUGUAUAGUAAUGACUAGCUUCCAUCACUCAAAGCAGGGACUGAAUCUCAAACCGCCUCCUCACACUUGUAACUCUAUAUAUCAGAAGAAUGAAAACUUUAUCCCAUUACUUGCUGCAAACAAGUUAUAUUCUUCAAUAGAACUUUUCUUAUUGCAAGUUUGAUCACCUUCACUGUGGUCAGCAGAUAAUUUUGAAGAUAAAUCUGUGCCAAUUUCUUCCUUCAAGGAUGUAGGUUCGGACUUCAAACCAGGCGGAACAUCUACAGGUCCACCAAAAUGAAAAAGGGAGAAGCCUGUAUUUCUGACAUCAGAUCCUUCAGUCUUCAAAUUCAUCCCCUUUUUGGCUGUAGCAGGUGUUUCCCUUGGCUGCAGCCCAUUAGAGACCACCCUCUGUACAUUAGCUCCAGCAUGGGUUUCUAUUGUACCACCUACAUUUGAGAUCUUCAUAUGAUCCUUUCCAUUAAUGCCAUUGCUUUGAGCAACAGACUGGAAAACAGGCACAUGACUGUGGUUAAGCAUUUGGGGAGUAGGGUGCUGUAAAGUGCCGUACUGCAUAAGAUGGCUAUUCCCAUUCAAACCAUACCCAAACGGACUAGCAAAUAAAUAAUGAUUGGGAGGGGGAAACGCCAUAAACCCACUAGUAGGAGCAGCUGGCCAAGAAAGUGGACUUUGAUGGUAGUACCCCAUUGGAGGAGAUUGAAAAAUUGGAAACUGCAUGCUCUGGUUGUGCAAUUGUGGGAGCACAACUUGAGGUUGAGCAUUAAUGCUCAUGUUUGCUCUUCCAUUUUCACUAUUAGCUUUGGAAGACAAAGUACCCCUGGUGUUUGUGGCUGCAUCAUUGACAACCUGGCCUUUGACAUGCUCCACUCCACAUGUAUUCUCCCCUUUUACUAUCCCAGCAUCUUGACAUACAGUGAUGCCACUUUGAAAGCAGACUGAUGUUUCUCUUCCUUCUGAGUUUUGACUAGCAUCAUCUGAAUCUGAUGAAGAUGAAGAUUCAGUGGUUUGAGGAUUUGAAGAUGAUAUGUUGCUGUCUCCCUCACUAAGGCAGGAUGAGCAGUUAUCAGAAUUCGAAGAGCUGCUCAGUGAUGAAUCUAAUGUUGCCUGUAAAGAUCUUGACAUAGGACACAGUUCACCAUCCUCAUCCGUUGCUUCCUUGUAUUGCUGGGAUUUUUCUUUUGGAUGAAACCCAUUUUCGCCAUUUCUCUCUGCUUCAGGCUCAGAUUUUAUUACUGCAUGUAAAUCCUUGUCCUCAUGCUUGAUUUGAAUAGUGAUCCCCGUUAAAUUGUCAGAACUGCUAGCAAUAGAAGAUUCAGGAGCUUGAUCAGAUUCAGUAGUUUCACCUUUAAAAGUAGAACAUCUCAAGGUAACAUCAGAGUCUGAGUUACUUCGCGGGUACUUCUGUGAUUCCAUUGGCUCCCAAACUUUCUUGGUAACACUUGAAUCUCGGUUGUAAACAUUGCUCCCAUUGAUAGUUUUGUUCUUGGAUCUUCCACAGUUUUCACGCAUGUAUUCAUUGUGGUUUAUAUGGUAGUAGGGCUUAGACAUAUCUGAUACAGAUUCUGACUUAAAGACAGACUUAUUUUCCCUGACCAUUCUUGACAUGUGUGGCUCCACCUUUAAUCGAAAAUCACUGUAUUGAUUGCAGCUGCAUGCAUGAGAUUCAUACCUGUCAUGGAUCCUGUUGCUGGAACAAGCAGAUUUCUCAUUAUACUUGGGUCCAACAUUUCUGAUAUUGGACUUCGCAACAAAAUUUCUUAGUUGCUUAGCUGGCCCAUUAAUGCUCCUCACACUCUCAAAAUUAUCACUGUGAUGUCUUGCUUCAUAUUUGUUAACCAUACUCCCAUUCUCUGAACCAAUCGCAUAUCUCCGCCUGUCAUACCAUUUUGAGUAUGUAUCCUGUUGAAAAUCUUUGCGAAACUUCAGCUUUCGACGAGAAUAUUUCAAGUGAUCAAUCGGGAAGUGACUCAUGCCAUCAUUUGUAUUAGCAAAGUCUCCAUCAGGACUAUCAGACUGAUUUUGCAAAUCUGAGUGAAUGAACUCAUCCAAAAGCUGCUCAUCUUGAAUAUCUGGAGAUAGAGACCCAGAUGGAAUAGCUUCCCCUGUUUCACUGACAAAGUCACCAUUACAGAUAUUAUUUGAUUCCCCAUCAGCAGUAGUUGUUAAUUCAUGCUCUGAAAUUUCAGGACCCUGAGAAUGUUUAGUUGAUUCAGAAUAUUUCUUCUCUCUAUCCUUUUCCUUUUCUCUUAAUCUCUCCUUUCUCCGCAGCUUUUUCUCUCUUUCUUUUGUUCUCCUCCGUUCCUUUCGCUCUUCUUCUUCUCGCUUUUCUUUCUCUUCUUCUUCAAGAAGUUUCACCUGUCAGACAUUUUAAAAUAGAGGAUCAGGAUAAUAAAUGGUAAAAUUCUGGAGAAUCAACUUUUCCCAGAUUUUUAAAAAUUUUUUAUACCUGCUUUUCUAGAGUAAUAAUCUCCUUGCAUGCAACAUGGACGCGAUCCUCUAACAACUUUAGAGCAAGACACACAAAAAUGCUAUGAGCAUUUUGUCGUGCUGUUCCUUCCCUAAAUGCCUUUUCAACCUGCAGAUAUUGAAUCUUGAGUAAGCAUUUUAUAUUUCAUUAACUUGUACGUGCACUUAUGCACGAAAGUCAAGACAGAGGAUAUCAGAAACAAAGAUGGAUGAUGAGCAGUCAAAGAAUCCAGGGUGAAUGAUCAGAAGAUUAUAAAGGAAAAACAAAUGAUUCUAGAAUACAACUUUAAUGAUCCAAUCACAAAGCUGAGGGGAAAACUUUAGCCUCAAAACUGAUAAAUCUUCUUGACCUCAAUUUUUGAUUCUUAAGACAGCUUACAGGACUCUUUUUACCAUUAAAACUCCUAGAUACCAAAUCAAUUAAAGAAGUUACAAAAAGAUAAUAAAUUAGCCAUCCAAUGUACUCAAACAAUAAUGCAUUAGGAUGCAGAUUCCUAGAUGAUCAACAUAUUAACUAUUGGGAUCUGGUAAUUGAAUGUGUAUAUAUAACUGACCCCCCCCCCCCCCACAAGGAAACAAAAUCAACAAAAAUUGGUAAUUAUAUUUUGCACUAAGGACUUGACCCACAGAAUAAUAAUGCUGAAAAAGAGAACAAACAAAUACAUGCCUGUUCCUUGAAGAUUACAGUUGCAGCAUCUAGGAGAAACUCUCGAGCAAGUUCAGGACUCUUCGCAUGUUUCUGGGGACGGGAGCAUUCACUAUCUAGCUCAUUUCCAUCCUUGUCCAUGGAAUCAUCAUCCUGCAGAUGAACAUAACUCUAAAUCACUAAACAAAAUCGACUCAAAAGUUGGCAACUGUCAUAUUAUGUUAGAAGUAAAGACUUAAAAAACAAGCUUCAGAAGAACUGAAGAGCUCUCAUGUUAUGUCAGAAACAGAGACUCAAGAAACGUGCUUCAUAACUUGACUACCUCUUCUUCCUCUGCCUCCUCAGCAUGCUCAAAGAACCUUCUAAUGCUUUCACCCCUGGUGAUGGUGACAAAGCCAUCACCAACCACAAGCCUGCAGUGUACACACUGUUGCCCCUUUAAAGCAUGAGCUUUAACACAAAGCUCAGUGCACCGACCAUCCAUUUUCCAAGCCCUUAGAGUAAUAUAACAUGAGUUCAAACCACUCAGAUCUAGACCUUUCACUUGAACUCUUCCACUCAAACCGACAUUUUCAAACUCCAAAAUAUCACAUUUCCCUUCUCCAGUUCCAACUGCCCAUUCAAAGUGAUGAUACGUCCCAAAAGUGUCUACAAAUGUUUGUUGCCAAUCAGCUUGUACUGUGUCAUGAGAUACCUGAAAUAGAACAGUAAAACAUAUGAAUACCAAUUGCAAUAAGAAUUUCCUGAACAGAAGAUAAACAUAUACAAUAUGUAUCGGUAACUCAAGGAACUAAUGAAACCAACAUUUACAGAAGUCCUUUAUACAAAUGUAAUUGAAAAAAUAUGGAAGUUGUUGUCUUCUCAGUGAUAAAUGAAAAUUACAAACCUCGUAUUGGAAGGCCGUGUCUGCAACACAAAACCAACUGGUGCAGCGAGGUUCCCUUCUCAUUCUUUUAAGUUCCUUCAGCUCCUUAAACUCACGUAUUACAUUUCGUCUGCAAUCUCUACAAAACCUCUUGCUAUCAAACCUGUAUGAAGCCAAGAUUUUCAGGAUUAGCAACAAACACAUUAAAAUCACAAUAAUGUUCUUUAUGAGCUCACCAGGAGACACAUGAAGUACACGAGAAGUCCAUAACAACAAAGUUCACAUCAUAUACAAGAAGCACUAUUCUUCUGAUUCCAUAUUUAUUUACAAUCGCCUCAGCUCUUGAACCAAAUCUCUCCAAUGUCCAUAAGUGUCUUAACCAGAGAUAUUAUCUCCAGUUUCUUUCUCACCAAUAUGCAAACAAAUUUAUAGCACAUUUAGACUUAUCAAAAUAAGAAGCAGAUCCCAAAUUGGGAAUGUUCAGUUAAUAAGCAAACAAAACCUUGAGCCUUCACCUAAAAGAAGAUAAUCCUAAAAAAAAAUCCAGGCAGUAAGUCAUUGUUAUUGAAUCGUGUAACUUAUAGGAAGUAAAUGCUAAAUUGGUAGAAUAGAAGAUUGCCAUUAUUGUAAACAUUAGCAUCAAAGCAUAAGUAUGCAAAAGAUCAUAACUAUCAGUUUCUUCUCUUUUCAAAGAUAAUUCAACUCAUAGAGAACCACAAGCAGUAUAUAUGUGCAUGUGUGUGUAAACACGAGCAAUACAGUACCACAAGGUCCACAAAUUUAUAAGAAGAGCCAAAAAAUGAGUUAUAACAAAAUUUAUUUUGUUUUGUUAUAGAUCCGUCUUGUAUCAUCUAAUCUUAAUUCUACCUACAACUUCCAAAUAAAAAGGCAAUAUUAGUCAUACAACCAUGAGUGGAAAGCAAAAUUACUGAAAUUACUAAAAGGAAGCAAAAUUACACAUGUUGAAGAUGAAAAAAACUUGAACAAGGAGUCAGACUGAUAGUAACGGAAUUGUUCUCCAAGUUCAAGGUAUCGGAAUAUUUGAUCCCUAAGUGUAAGGAGAAAAACGCUAAGGGCACAAUGUCAUGUAUCGUUCCAAACUCCCAAAAAUAGAGAAAGUUUGGGACAUUGACAAAGAUAUCUUGGACCUUUGCACCUACCAAAAACCACAUUUUCCAUUUCUAUACAGUCCUGAACAAGGUGGAACUGGAUCUAAUCAGAAAAAUUAUGCAAAUUUUCCCAAAACUUAUAUUUGUACAGCAUAGAACAUAAUGAAUCACUGUUUGAAGAUUUACAAAGUACGAUUAUACUAGCAACAUUCUAAGGUCAUAUCCUUAAAACAAGUAAUAUAAAUUAAUUCUGUUAAGUAGCAUUCUCCAGUGGAAAGCAUGAAAAAUACUAGAACACUUUGUGUGCAGCAAAAAAAGGACCAGGAUUGCAUUAAUUAAGUACAAUGAACUGGCAUCAAAGAAGGCAUAAGGCAGCAAGGGAAGCAGACUCAAAUGUAGACAAAAAGGCAUAAGGCAGCAAGGGAAGUAGACUCAAAUGCAGAAAAAAAGGAGGCAGGAAUUAGACAUCACUCAUAACAGUUGUCAAAUUUCUUAGUCCAUGCUAUCUACUCUACAUAAUGCUUGUAUGCUCACUAUUCAAUAAAUGAUAGAUCUUUUACUUGUUACAAAAUAGUAGUCAAUAUGUUACACCCAUCCCUCCAUUCUCAUCUUUUUGUAAGUUAUCGAAACCUGUAGUUCAAGAAAACAUUUAUUUGGUUCCACCCAGAAAAAUGCUGGAUAAAUACAAUCUUCUGGAACAGUCUGGGGACCUUCAGAAUACUUUUCAAAUCAAUUUACCGGUCUGUAAUUUACCAAAAAAAGGUUUACAAGAGAAUAUGACAGUUUUAAGAUAGUUUUUGUUUUGAAAUGCAGUCCACAACCACGGCGUAAAAUAGACUUGUCCACUUCCAGUGGCAGCGUACUCAUCCAAUUCCGCAGCAAAAUGCUGUUUGUCUACUGCCUCAAGAUGAGCUAUUGAAAGUCCUGAAUGAUCGGUCAACCAAGUCAUUGACUCAACGUUCUAAAUGGCACAAAAUAGAACGAUGAAUAGCAUCAAAAUAUAUGAGAGCUACUGAAACUGACAUUUUCCAAAACAGCUAAAAUCCUCCAAAAGAGAAAAUAAUAGGAGAUGAUUCGCUUUUGGAUCACACAAUUAAUGCUCAAUCUUGGCACCUUCUGAAUAAGUUUCAGACCAUUAAAGCCUUACACCUCUGUUUAAUAAAUUUCCACAACAGAAUACACAACUUUUCUACUUAACAUUGAUAUCCUGGUUGGAUUCGUAAGUUCAUGUUGAAGCAAAAACCAGAACAGUUUAACCAAAAACCUUAACACAGACCUGUACAUAAGUCUUUCAAUAAAAUCCUCUUCCUUCAUUCUUAACAGGGAUAGCCGGGUCUCUUCUCCUAGGGCUGACCAAAAAUCUACCAACGUGUCGACAGAAAGUCUAGCAGUAUGGAGAGCACAGGUUUCUCUCGUUCCAUGCCCUCUGCCAUAUCCACCCAUUCCUUGGCUUAUCCAUCCUCGACCUCCACCACCACAUGCAUCAGGAUAAAGCAACUCCCUUUCUCGUUCCCUAGCCCGUGCACUGUCAAAAACCUGUUUCACAUGAGACAUUAGCAAUAACAAAUGGCCAAAACUAACAAGACCAGGGAGACAAUUGAGAAAUAAAUGAAGCAUACAUUUUGGAUGCCCUUCAGGGAUUCUGAAUACAGGUAACAGUCUAAAACUGUAAGUGUUCCUUCUCGUGUCGUGGUCAGACCUCCCCAAGGAUGGACGGAUGGGUCUUGAAUAUCAUCAUCACAUCCAUCAGUCCCACAAAAGUCAACAUCGUUCUGAUGCUUCAAAGCUCCCAACCUGUUGCAAGGAUACUGGGUGCCUGCUCCCUCUUGUUGCAAAGACUUUCCAUACAUGACAAUCUGCAAGAAACCUUCAAGCAGUAACCCAUUGCACCUAGAGCAAUACAUAUUCUUACGGGCUUGCUCGAAAAGCGUUUGCUUGUCAAUCCUCAGAAGCUCCUGCCGAGCUUGCGGUGAUAGCUCAUUCCAGAACUAAAACACAACAAAGUAAAAAUUCCUUAUUAUUCAUUAGUUCCAGUUUCACGAAUAAAAAUGAAUACUUCAAAGCCCAUAGCCCUUUUCAGAGCUCACCAAUUUAAAGUUCAUUGAAGCAAUAACACAAUCCUUUUACAAGACACAAUUUUAGCAUAUAUAAUUAAUUCAAUCUGACAACAACAAAACAUCGCUCUAGAUUGCAACUCUAGAGCUGCCCCUAGAGGAGAAAGAGCAAAUUCAAAUAAAAUCUCUGCGCAACUUUGAGUGACUUCAACUACUACUCUAACAUACUAGGGAGCGUUUAAUCAUAGUCAGAAACUCAGAAAACAUAAAUAAAUAAAUGCUGUUUCAAAGCUUCAAUGUCAGUUUAAAUUCCAUUAUAUGCUGUAAAAACUGGGUGAACAAAAAUGUGUGUGCCAUUGUGUAUACACAAGGAAUUUGCAGGCAUAGAUAGGAUUUCGAUCUAAAAAAUCACACAAGCAUUAGAUAACCCCAAAAACACUUCCAAUCAACUAAAAAAGCUUCAGAUACCAACAAUGGUUGAAUGACUAAAUCCAUUUAAGAUUCCAACAUAUCAAGCUAACAAUCAACAGUAAGGCCAUAAACGUAUAUCUAAACGAAAAUCAUCCAAAACAAUUUAAUUGAAGCCAAUUGAAUUUAAGCACCUUCUGAAGUUGAUUAUAGCUGAUAUCCUCUCGAUGUUUGGACCAGAAGCCAUUGCUGGAAGAAACCGACUUAUAAGACGGCGUUGCUCCUUUGGCAAAUUGGUGAUCAUUUCUCUCCGCCGCAGCCGCAGCUGCAGCAGAUGCUAUCCCUGGCAUAUCGCAAAAUAAUCAAAGUAGAUUUAAAAAAUUCCCAGUUUUAUCUCAAUUCCUACGAGAUUCAAUCCUCAUCAUCAAUAAUUCCUUCAUUCAUUGAUUCCCCUUUCUUCUCCCACCAAUCCCCACAAACCCAAAUCCAAAAAUUCUAAAAUAUAUAAAAGAACCGAUUCCUUGGCAUCGGAUUUCUAUUCAUAAUCAUCAAUGCAUAAAACUGCAGCAUCGGUUAAAUUAAAUUAAUCUCAAACAGAUCCGAAAAUGGAUUUUUGGGAAAUGGAAAAUUGAAUUUAUAUAUCUGGAAAUCUGUGAUUGAAAAUUGGCUAAAUUGGAUUCGGGUAAGAUCGAAGAGGAAGAUUUAUGAUCGAUAAUUUGGAGAGAGGAGGAAAGCUUUUGGGUAGAAAGAAAGGGGUUUGAGGCUGAUGAGAUUUGGUGCUAUUUUCGUUUAUAUAUUUUUAUAUACUACAUCUCUAUUUAUAUAUUUAUAUAUGUAUAUAGUGUAUAUAUAUAUAUAUAUAUAUAUAUAUAUAUAUAUAUAUAUAUUGUGUGAAGAAAGUAAUAGAGAAAUUGAGGCCUGAGAAGAAAUGAGAGAUGGUGUCAUGAUGAUGGGCUUGUGGGGUUAAAAAACAGGCGGUAAGAUACGUAGGAGAAAAGGGGUUAAAAUAGCAAAAAACCAAAAAAGAGAAAUCAAAGAUGGAGGCAGCACCCGCCCUCAUUUUACUACUCAUAAUGUCAUUGCUAUUUUUUUUGGUUAAAAAAAAAGUUUGAAUGGAUUGGAUUCCGAUUAUCACCACAUGUCAAAGCACGCCUCCGUAAUAAUAUGUCAUUGCCUGUAACUCUCUUUCUAAUUAAGAGUUGUUUGGCAUCGUCUCAAAUGAAAACAAAAAAACAAAAAUUCCUCAUAAAAAAUAUUUUCCAAGUAAUAUAAUCCCAAAUCAUAGUUUGUUUGAAUUUCCUCUUAUUUGCAAAAAAAAAUUAUUAAUCAGAUCAUAAACAUACAUUUUUAUCGUUCCGUUUAUCUUUUUAUCUCACAUACAUUAAUGUGACUCUUUGCUAUGAUUUGUGUGUCAAAAUAGACUUUGCUUUGCUAUGUAAAUUUAGCCUAUGCCAUUGUGUGAGAAAGGCGGAAUUAACACUUUUAAAAAUCGUUAUUGAUAUUCCAUCUUAAAUAUUUUUGAAAAAAUCGUUCAAACUAUUCCUCAUAUUUUGUAAAAUGACUUUUUUGUUCUUACUUUAAAAAGUGUAAUUUUAUGUCUCUUAUAAAUUUACAUUGGUCCAAUUUGGUCCCUACUUAAAUUUCGGAUUAGUUUUUUUCUGAAAUCUAUCACGUGCCUUGCACAUGAUCAUAAAAUUCAUUUUAUAAAAAGUGAAGGACUAUGAAUCGGAUUAUGUAAAAUGUGAUUUGAUAAUUUUAUCCCUCAAAAAUGAUCACGUGAAAUGAUAGAGACCAAAUUUGACUAAUAUGAAUUUGUAAGACACAUAAAAUUACACUUUUAAAAGUGAAGGAUAAAAAAUCAUUUUACAAAAUGUGAGAGACGUUUUGAACAAUUUUCUCACAUUUUUUCACUUAGCAUAAAUAUGUAUAAGAUGGGAAAAAAAUUUCAUAGUCAUUACUUGGAAAAGAUUAAUUGUGUAUGCAAAGAUUGGAUCUCCCCGAGCAAAAUGAACAUCUUUUGUACUUUUUUUUUUUUUGGGUUGUUGAUUCUUUUACAAGUCACAAGCCUGAAAAAAAAAGACCAAGAAGUAGAAUAAAUUUUUGCAUUGUCAAUUUCAGAGUCUGCUUGGACAAGAAGUUUAAACCACCAUGUUAAACUUGCAUAGUCGUUUGACCAAGUGAUCAAUAGCUUUCAACUCUUGCAAAGUUAGUCUUCAAGUGUACCGCAAGCUUUAAAUUCUUAUAUACAGUUGAGUCUAAAUUGGUUUUAGGGUGGCUUAAGUACGUCCUUAGCACAGCAAAAACAGUAAAAAUUGGACUAUUGUCGCAGCAAUUUCCAUUCCAAAUUGAUUUAAUUCUUAUGAAAAAUUAUUUAUAUUUCUGAGGUUCUUAUUGUCACCUAGAGAUCAUUUUGUUUUAACGUGCAUAGGUAUACUAAUUCGAAUACUGCAUCCAAUGCAGUAUGAGAAAAUUUCAUGUGUAAUACUGCAGUUGCUACAAAUCAACUUGUUCAUGCAUCCAAUGCAAUGAUUUGCGUUUAGUUAAUUAACCACGAUCGGAUUUUGCCAAUAUUGGCAUUUCGAGUGUUUUAAAUUGAAGAAAAACUCUAACCAAUUUAUCGGUGAUUGCUUACAAUAAUGCACAGUCAUUGAAUGUAUUUAACUAAUAUAAACUGAUUUAAUUAGUAAGAAUUGAUCAUUUUCUUACAGAAAGUCAUGUAGUUGAAUCUCGUUACUACUUUGAGGUUGUGCUGAUCUAACCUAUAAUGAUAAUUGAAACUAAAAUUACUAACGUUUUUCUCCAAAAAGUAAAAAUGUGGUCAUAAUUUUCUUGUAGACAACUUGUUGAAUGAAUUGUUCACGCACACCCUUACAUGCACUAAUAUUGUACAAAACGUAAGGAUGCUUGUGAGAUUCGACAUCAAGACCUUUGCUGUGUCGGGGAUGUUGUCAACUUUGAAUUUCCUCCAAAAAACUUUGGAUAUACACAACAAUAAUGUUGUCAUUUCGUUGAAAAAGUGUAAUUACACGUCGUCAUCUUGCCUUAUAGUACCAUAUACGCCUGGCAUAGGACCCAAAGUUACAGCAUAACCAGCUCCCUGUCAAGAGAUCUGUAUGGAUUGACAACAUUUAUCCUUUUAUACAGGUCUGCUCGGUUUGUAAUUUUAUUUUUUUUUAAAAAAUUCUAUUCAUAAAUACAUUUUUUCAAUUGAUUUUUUAUUAUUUAAAUAAUUUUUUUUUAUCUUAAAACCAACUUGUCUUGAGCAAGUUAGCCAUAAAAAAAGAUUUAAAAUCCCGCUUUAGGGUGCGCAUCCUAUAGUUAAAAAGAUGAAGAAACUUUCCGAACAGCCCUUGACCUAUUGUCUUUGCACAGUUUUGGCCCCUCAAUUAUAAAUUGUUACAAAUAAACCCUUAAAAAAAUACUUACUUUAAUGACUUCCAUCAAUUUUGGCCAUUAGAGGUGACGGAAUUAAGGGUAAAACCAACCAAACGAAAAAAUCAACCCACGAAAACAGCUUAAAAGGCAUCGUUGACUGAUCAUUUCAUAGAAAAGGUGGAAGAUGAAAGAAGAUGAAUAAACAUUAAACUCCGUAUUAUUAAUUGACUUAAUAUAGUUGGUUUCCAAUCAAAUUGUUGGUUAAUUUUUUUUGUUUGGUUGAUUUUGCCCAUAAUUUUGUUACAUUUAACGUCCAAAAUUGACGGAAGUCCUUAAAUUAAGUUUUUUUUUUAAGGGCUCAUUUGCGAAUUUAUAGUUAAGAGGUCAAAACCAUACAAAGUGAAUAGUUUAAGGACUUGUCGAAAAGUUUCCUCAAAAGAAAUUCAAUGAGUGUGUCAAAACACCCUUUUGAUCUAGACGAGUCUGUCUUUCCUUUAGUCUCGUAUAGAAUCCAGUUGGAUUCUUCCUCCUUUAUACAAUAGGAUAGUAUGUAGAACAUGAUAGUAUAGAUGCUCCUCCUCCUUCUCUGUAAAAUAGGAUGGUAUAGAUAUUGCCAACUGACUGAAAAAAAAAUUGUAAUAGAUGAAAACUAGUCAUAUAAAUUUUUUCAUAAGGAAAAAAUUAGAGGCAGCUCUGUCAAUAGUACUUACUGCUACUACCACCAUUGCUAAUGCAUCUCGAGUUAAUACAUUUACGACUGUAACAUGUGCCACCUAUAAUGUCAAUCUAUCUCCAUACUAGUUAUUAUUGAAGUGGACGACAGAAGUAUUCAAGCAACUUGGCUGGCUUUCUCAACCCCUAUCGUUUCCUAUGGUCGCAGUUUCUUACCAUCUUGAUUAGUCUUCUGUAAUACAUUUGUUAAUUUUCAUCUUGUUUUGUUGGUUAGUGCCUAGUGGAUCUGUCAAGCGUGAGGUCCCUCUUAGAUGAUGGAUCUAAGCAUAUUAUUCAACAACAUCACGAGUAAUUUGACUUCUCUUUUCCAUAAUUUUGUAGUUAUCUUGACUUCACCACACAACCAGAUGGAAUGAAUAUGGGGAAACCCAUGACAGUGAAAACUUUAACUCGGUAUGCCAUGAAAAAGCUAAGGAAGAACAAUGCUAAUUUGCUAACAAGGACAUAUGUUUAUUCAUUCUGGGAUAGAGUAUUAGAAGUUAGAAAAAUUGUCUGGUUAUGCCCCCAAAAAAAAAAAAUUCAUCCAAUCGGUUCUAAUUUUAACUGAGAGAUGCACUUUAAGCUACACGAUUAAUUGACUUCUUUGUUUACAUUAACAUAAGUAUCCAAAGGAAGAGAUCUAGCUGGUGGAACUGAAUCUUACAGUUACCCCAAGGUGUGAGUGAUUCCAAUUAAAGAAUGUGAAAGAAACAAAGAAUUCGAUUUAUUUGACCAUGUACAAUUUCUUAAGACAUAUACUAUAACGUAUACAAUCACCUGAAAGAAGCUAAUUACAUUUUUGUACUAGCUUGACAACAUCAAUGUUUCAAACUUUUUUGUUUCUGUUUUCAAAACUUGACUUUGCUCACAAUUUAUUCGUGCAUAACAUUGGGACUUGGUUUUUGGUUAAUUAAAGGCCAUGAUGUUUGGCUUAGCUUUUGUUUUGGGUUUAGCAGCUACUGCUUAUCAAAGAGUUGCUUCGCCUUACACGUAUUGGAGAGGGAAGAAUUGAAAGGCCAUUUAUCUGUUUGAUGAUAAUGAAGUAUUCGUGGACUAAAGAAAAGUAAAUUACAAUUUUGCCCCUUUAUUUUAUUAGGAAAAAAAUGCAAUAAGAUUAAUUUUUUAUGCACUGGUUAGUAUAGAGAUUUUUUUUUUUUAAAUACAUGGCACUAGAUACAUGCCACAUCUGUAAAAAUAAUUAAACUUAAAUAAAAAUUAUGCGUCAUGUAUCUACAGCUACUAUUUUUUUUUUUUUUGUCUGUAACGUCAACUAUCUAACCUAAUCCGAGAGGAGUCUAAAGAAACUUAUAUAGACAUUAGGAGGUGAAUCACCAAGUCAGACUUGUGCACUACCGCACUCUCUGAAUUUUUAAGAAUAAGAAGUACUAUGCUUCUAGGGCUACUAAUAAUUAAAAUAAAAAAAAUAAAAAACCUUGUACAUUGACAAUUGCAUAAAAAAUUAAUCCAUAUAUAUAUAUAUGUGUGUGUCUUUUCUAAAAGUGUUUAUCAUGUAACCGACCAAUAUCUUUUAUGCCGUGGAAAAGUGAGAUGGUGAACAAGUCGAGGGAGUUAUUGGAUAGCCGACAUUAGCUAAUAGUGUAAUUCUCUCCGUUUUGAGUGUCAGAAGUAAUUAGUCACAUAUAUAAAGAUAAUCACAAGACUCAUCUGGAGACUGUUUUUGGGCAUUAUCUGUCAAAGCUCUUUCUUUUUAAAAGUAUUCAGCCAAACAGGUAAUAACUGCCAUACAUUAAUGAGAAUUUUUAGUAGUACCAGUUCCUUGUUAUGCUUCUAAUUAAGCAUUUGGGAGGAGAUUAAACAAGAACAUCCAAUCUUCGAUCACUACAAAAUCCGACAGCUUAUGCUCAGGCCCCCCUCAUUUUGCUUAUCCCUAUAUGAAUAAUAGAAAAUCUGUUAUGCCUGUUUUCCCAAAGGACGAAUUAGAGGGCAUCAAUGGACACAUAAAGAAAAUGACCUUUAACCUUCAUUACAAGCUGAAGAAGUAGUCCGUUUUGCUUUCACUUAUUAUUAGUGUAAAGUUCUGCUGCAAUUUAAGAGGUUGUUUGGAUUGCAUUUUUUGAAGAGCUUUUGAAGAAUAAAUUACUAUAGAACUUUAAUUUAUAGAAUACGGUGUAUGUGACAUAAUUAGAAUACUCACAGAAAAGCAGAAAAAUAGCAAUUCAAACGAGAUCUACACCUUCCGUACUGAUAUUUGCUUAAGACGGUAGGAACAUACAAAUGAAUCAAGCAGCGAAAACAAUUUACCAUUGGAACAUGAUCUUAUUUUUCAUGAUAACUAUGAAUUAAUCAUUUGUCGUGGCAACAAAAUCUUAGUUUGAUAGUUUGUCGCUUACUUUUUCCUGUGUUUCUGAGUGUAUUUUUCACACACAGAUAAUUCUUUCUAUACAAAAAUUGGCAAUUGUACAGAAGUUUACUGUUGAAAUGGAGCGAAUUGAUGGGUAAUCAGGGCAGCACGAGUCCAACAAUAGAACAAAACAUGCGAAAGAAAGUGUUCAGGCAAAGCUACAAGAAAAGCUAGAGGACAAUUGGGGCGACAAAAUCUUGGAACUCCCCAGCGGAAGAAUCUUUCAAUUUUGUGGUCAGUACCCAGUACAGCAGUUAACAUCAUUUAUCAUAUUGACUGCAAUCCAGGCACUUCGAUCUUUGCACUUCAACAAACGGGUCGCCGACCCAUUUACAGGGUUUUCUGGAAGGGGAGGGGGAGAGAGCGUAGGGACCGGUGUGGGAUAGUUGAACCAGCCCAUUAUUUGUAACUGUCGAUUUUUUUGGGCUUUGGCCCUCCUACGGACCAAAAAAACACAAUAAAGAUAAAUGGAAUACUCCCAAGAUCCAAUUCAAUUGGACAAUAGUUAAAGACAUUUAUUAGUUAGAGACAGUUUCUGAAACCUCUUUCGAAAUUUAGGGUAAUAUAUCAUUUGGUAGCUUUGAAGUUUCAGAAAUAUAAUUCAACUUCCAUGCUGGUGAGAUGGGACCAUUAAUCAAUAUCAACGCGACAAAAUUAUAUUUACUCCUUUAACAAUUUUAAAGCAAAACAUAUAAAAAAGAAUAUAGGUAAAACAUGUAAAUCUUAUAUUAUAGGUAGAAAAUUUAAUAUAAGACAACAUCAAAGGAUAGAAUUGGUCGAAUAUAUAUAUAUAUCUCAUCAAAUGAUUAUUAUAAGAAUAUUUUAAUGAUAUAAAGGUAACAUUGUUACAAAGUGUAUAUGGUUUUAGAGGAGGUUAAUGAUAUUUUUAAAAACUUUAGAAGUGCGAAGCAAUAUUAAUAUAAAUCUCAAUGAGGUUUCUAAAAUUAUCUCUAGUUAAAAUGGUAGAGAAUAUACAAUUUUACAAGUUUAAGAAGUAAAAAUAUGUAUUUAAUAGUUGAAAGGUUAAAAGUCGACCAACUUAAUACUUUGAAAGCCAUCUAACUUUUUGGCACUAAAAUUUAAAAAUUUAUUGAAAUAUUAUUUUUUUAAAAUUUAAAAAAAUCACUAUCCACAACCAUUUACCACCCCUUCUUUUCUCUCUCCACCAUUGCCAUCGUAGCCGCCCCUACUCUUCCCCUCCCUCCCUCAUUCUCUCUUUUCCUCCUUCCUCCUUGUCCCUUUUCUUUCCUCUUCCCCUCCCUUCUCUUUCCCCACCACACCCAACUCCUCCCUUUCCUUAUUUUGACCUAGUUGUGGCCACCUCUCCUUUGUCCUCCCCUUCCAACCUCUGUCUCUUUCUUUUGCCUAUCUAGUUGUGACUAGAAGCCGCAACCAAAGUAGGGAAAGGGAGGGGGUAGGGAUGGUGGGGGAAGGGAGGCAAAUAAGAGGAAAAGGGAUAAGGAGGAGAAAGGAAGGGAAGGGUAGCGAUAGUAGUGGUGAUAAAGGAGGGAGGAGGCUAGUGAUGAGUGGCAACGGUGGGUGGUGGUGGGUGAAAGAAGAAAAAAUGAUAAAAUUUAUUUUUAUUUUUGUAUUUUAGAUGUGCAUUUUUUAAAUUGUUUUUGAAAUUUGUUGCUGUAAAUUGCACAAACAAAAACCAUUUGUGAAGAAAAAGGAUAACUCAAAUAGAGGCUUAAUUUUUUCUAUUUUUUUUUAUAUUUAUUGUUGUAAGGUUUGGAGUUUGACUUAAAUUAAAAUACAUUUGACGUAGUUGUGCAAUGUUAUUUAUUGUUGUAAGGUUUAGAGUUUGACUUAAAUUAAAAAAACAUAUGACGUAGUUGUGCAAUUUUAUUUAUUGUUGUAUUGUUUAGAGUUUGACUUCAAUUAAGAAACGUAUGACGCAUUUAUGCACUCGCAGUACUACCUUCCCUAUAACUGUAGGAGGAUUUUUUGUUUUCUUCAAGCAACAGGAAAACUGCUGGAACUUGAUGUAGAUAAGUUUUACCCUCGUAAUCUCCGCUACUUAUUGUUAUACCACUGCUUAAUGUCACAUUUGAGACCAAAAUCCGAUAGCACUUGCAAAUCAGUGUAUGCGUUUGCAAGGAUAGCAGCGGAUUAGGGUUUUAAUUCUCAAUUUCUCAUUACCAAACCAUCUCGCGGGUUCAAGUUGUCCAUUGAGUAUCCUCUAUCCAUUAAGGUCAAUAGUUAAAAAAAAAAAAGAAAAUUAAUUUUUAUCAAACUAAAAUCAACAUAUACAUUAUGUUAAAUUAACACACUACAUUGAGUUUCAAACUUGGGCAACACCAUAAAGGUUACAUGAGAAAAAAUGGAUAUUUUGUGAAGGUUUAAAUCAAUAUUUCUCUGUUUUUAAUCAUAACUGUCUUCAUUUAUGGCAUCGGGUAUUGGAUGUCGGGGUCUUAGGAUUCUCUUAUCAAAUUUUAUCAAGGUACUUGGAGGUAACUCCUCAUCAUCAAUAUCAAUUCCCAAUAGAUAAACCAUGAAUCAUCUAAUCAAACUAAUCAUCAAGUUGUCUAAUCCAAUAUUUUUUAUUUUGAGGAACAUUUGAAUGCUUUUAUGGUCAUGUGUCUUUCAUGCAUCACUUGCCUUCACUAGUUGUAUUUUUGAAAAUCCAAAUCAUGCAUUUUUUUAUUUUUUAUUUGGAUAGAAAAAAAAUCAAGCAUUAGGUAUUAGUAGGAAAUUAGGCAAUGACAACUCACACUUUUGAUUCCUCUACCACUCAUGGCAUCUGAAUUUAAUUAUGGAACAAUUCUAUUCAGUCUCAUUCUAUUUUGCAUGUAAAUUCACAUGAAGGUCUUAUUUAUAGUUCAUACUAUAAAGAAAUUUUUUUUUGUCAUGGAUUAAAAAAGUUACUUGUGUGGCAAAUUGCAAUGAGAAGAAAAAGUAAUACAAGGGCCUAUAUGAAGCACAACUAAACUGCCAUGGAUCAUCAGUAAUUAGCCUCAAAUUCAGUCCUUCCCCGGAAAAGUAAAAAGUUUCCGGAGCUAUAAAAGAAAAUCUGAGGAGGAAAAAGACAAAAGCAUCUUCAAAGUUGAAUUCCCGUUCCCCAGCCAACCGGAGCUGAAUCAUUAUAGUCAAAUCAUUAUAUACUCCGGCGAACGACCACCUUCACCGGCGGCCGAUGGCUUCUACAUUAUUCUCCCACCUAAAAUACUCCGACAGCUUAACGGUGGUCGCAAUUUCAAUCUUCACCGCCGUAGUCUGCGAAGCUAUCUCGUGGCUACUAAUCUACCGCACCAGCUCCUACAAGUCUCUCAAAUCCACCAUAGACAAGGCCUCCAAAAAGCUCGAAACCAUGAAAACCCCUAACGGCACCAGUGAACUCACUAAGAAAUCAAAAACCAAGAAAAUCGACCGCGUCGAGACCUCCUUGAAGGAAUCCAGCCGCGAUUUGUCUCUAUUUAAGUUCAAAUCCGGCGCUGUCGUCGCGGUCGUUUUAUUUAUGGUUUUCGGAUUGUUGAAUACUUUGUUCGAAGGGAAACCCGUUGCGAAACUGCCGUUUGUUCCCUUGCGGAUUGUUCAGAAGAUGAGUCAUCGUGGCUUGUCCGGGGACGACAUGACUGAUUGUUCGAUGGCCUUUUUGUAUUUUCUUUGCUCGAUUAGUAUUAGGACUAACCUUCAGAAGUUCUUAGGUUUUUCGCCGCCACGCGGAGCUGCUGGUGCUGGCCUUUUCCCCAUGCCCGAUCCCAAAACCAGCUGAUUGAUCUGAUCCAUCCGCCAAAAAGCUCCUAGUUUUGGUAUUAAUUGCCUAGUGUUUUGAGUUUUUAGUUGUCACCUUUUGUUUUUUAAUUUUCUUUCUGGGAAGUCUGAAUUUUGAGAUCAUAAUUGGGAGUAGACUGUUAAGUAUUUAGUCAUUGAAUGGAAUAGUACUGUUGAUCUUUUUUUCCAACUUUAUUCUUUCCCGAAACCGGAAAAGUGAUGAAGAACUCAUUUCUGUAUGUUGUUGCAGUUGUCAAUUUUUGUGAUAAUUAUUAAAUUAUUGCUUAUCUUUUGUUAGGCCUAUUUGAGGUUUGUUAGUUUUUAGAAUCUUUAUUCAUAACAGAGUGAGCUGUUUUUUGUUGGUUUAUUCCUGCUUCACAUGUCAAUCUAAAAUCUCUUUGCUCUGUUUUGUUUUGCUGUCUAUGAUAAAUUAUUGAUCUUUGCAUUCAUUAAUUUCUGAAUUUACAGUAUGUUGUGAUUCGGAUGUUUGAUAUUCUAAAGACUCUGAGCAUAAAUUUUGUCGGUAAGACCUCCUUAUAGGAUUAAUGCUCUUGCCGAAACCUUUUUUUUAUUGGGGUCUGAAAAGCACCUUGCCCACACUUGUUGGGAGCAAGCAUUCUAACUUGAUCUAUCAUUGCCCUGCUUAUUCAUAAACCAGUCAAUAUAUUGCUAAUUGUGCUUUUUCGGGGGUGGACUUUCUGCUCUAGUAGUUAUCAAACAGUUAAAGGCCACUUUGAAACUGUUGCUCAUCAUGACCAUGGUAUCUUGUAAAUAUUUAUCGUGUUUAAUUCAUUAGAUCUAGAAGGUGUUGCUUAUUGCCCUUUGUAUUUGAGUUUUAGCAUUGUGAGUUACAUGUGUUUAUUGUGCAGUCUUUGGAUUAGCUGAAUUCUAAAGACGGCUGUAGGAAAUUCCAUCACCUUCUAUUUUUUUUUUUCGGGUAAGAAGUUUUGAAGCUUGCAAACUUGAAUGUUUAAAGACUGAGAAUUGAAAGUAUAGAUCUUUCCAAUUGCAGUUUUGGAUACUUAUAAUUUUUCUGAGUGAAGUUGUAAGUAUUAUAUCGCCAUGAAUAAAGAACAAUCAUGGCAUCAGUUUUGAAACAGAGAGUUAUAUUACAGAGUUAGUUGCAAUGGCUAAACUAACGCAUCCUAAAGUUGGGUAUACCAAUUUUUGUUGGUGUCAUGAAACAAGCCAUUUGGUAGGAUUACAAAUCUUGCUAAAACGAUGUUCAUAAUAAAGAUUUGAAAAGUUAAGGUUCAUAACAAAUUGAAGUUGUUUCAUGUCAUAAUUGGAACAACAAUUGAGGUUAACAAUGACUCAAGGAAAAGUGAAAUGCCUUCAAAUUGGGUUAGUCAACAAAAGGAACAUAUCAAGACAAAGUAUCUCAGUACAGCGUGCCUUAUCACAUUUGCAUAUUGUUUUCCUGCUUAAUGAUGGAAGAUGUGUAAUAAGUUGUGUUUGAAAACAUAAAUCAAAUCAUUCAAUUAACCCAUCAACAGUCAUAUGUCCAUAAUUAAAGUUGGCUUGUACUUUUAUCGCAAUAAAUGUUUAUUACUUAUUACUGCUACAUUAAUUUUGGUCUAACUUAAUCUUCGACCUGCAUUACUAACUUAUUAUUGAGGAAAGAUAAAGGGUGGGCUUGUAUGAAAUAAGUGACUUUCAGUUUUAGGUACCGACAGUCUACCCCCUUCUCUUUCUCGACUCCUCCAAAUAAGAAAAAGGAUGGCUCAGAUGCUGUUUUCUCAUCUUAGGUACUCAGAUAGCCUAGCAGUCAUGAAAAUCUCACUAUUUUCUGCCAUAUUGUGUGAAGCUUUAUCUUGGCUAUUAAUCUACUGCAUCAACCCCCACAAGUCUCUCAAAUCUGCAAGUAACAAAGCCUCAAGAAAACUUGAUCGUACGAAAAAUCACAAUAAAAGCAAUGAAAUCGCCAAGAAAUCCAGGAUCAGCAAAAUAGCCUGUGUUGCAACAUCAUUAAAAAAAUCCAUAUUUGUACUUGUACUUGUUCAAAUUAAAGCCUGGGUUGAUUCUCAUCCUGGUUCUCUUAGUCAUUUUUAAUACACUGAACAAUCUACAUGAAAGGAAACCUGUGGCUAAGUUGCCACUUUGGCCCUUACAAAUUUUUCUCAGGUUGAGUUAUAGGGGCCUAUCUGGGGACUACACGACACGUUGUGUUCAGUGUUCUUCUUGUGCUUUUUGUGCUCGAUUGCAGUUAGGGCUAAUAUUGAAAAGCUUUUAGGGUUCUCGCCACCACGAAAAGCUUUUAGGGUUCUCGCCACCACAUGAAGCUGCAGGUGGCAGGUUGUUUUCAUUGCCCUUUCUGAAAUCAAACUGAUUGGUUUUGUUCACUACCAGUUAGUAAGAACUUCCCUUUCUACUACUUGUAUUGUCCUUCUUUUGGAGAAGUUUGAAUUAAGAUAGCUGACUUAAAGUGAUCUCCUGUUCUGAUUGAAGAAAUUUAAUGGAUUGGGUGUUUUCAAAAAACUUUACUGUAGACGUGUAUCUUAAAAAUAUGUCGCCUGGUUUUUUUUUAAGGUUGUUUUGACGGCUGUAUCAGGUUUGCGGAAAGAAUUAUCUUUACCGAAAGUGGCAAGCAACCCCCUCCUCAGCCCACCUUUCUGCCUCCCACACACUGCUUCCUGCUACUCUCUCUCUCCUUCACCAGCUCUCUUCUGCCCACUUUUCUCCCCCAACCCGUUACCCUCUCCCCUCCCUUCCUCCCCCUUCCCCUACCAACCAGCCAGCCUCCCCUGUUCCCCAAAUCUGCAGCCCCCAUCCCCAUCCCCACCCCCUCUCCCUUCCUCCCCCUUCCCCCAGCAACCCACCAAGGGGGAGUGGACUGCAGGGUGGUGAUAGGGGAAGGGGCAAUGGGCUGGUUGAGUUGGGGGAGGGGGCUGCAUUUUGCAUGUGUGUGUGUUUUGGGUACUGUUUCUGGUGUUCCGAGGGGUGUUACUAUAGACACGUGUUUAAAAUACAUGUUUUGAAAAAAAAUGGAAUCCAUAAGCUCCAUAAGUUUUUAGUCAGAGGUUCGAACAGUAUUUUUAUCAUUCAUUCUUUUCUGUUUCUGCCCAAAUUACAAUGACUUUGCAAUGAACUUGCUGGCUUUAUUUCUCUCGUACAAAUAUGUGUGCGCGUGUACACAUGUAGUGCCUGAAUUUUGGUUGACUUACACUUAGGGGGUCUUUUUGACGAAUAAAUUGACUUUUUUAUAUAUUUUUGAUUUGCAGUUUCCAUGAUAAUCUGUAGGCUUUUGCUUAAGUUAGAUGUGCUAGGUUGAUUUUUGUUUUUCUGUUUGUCCUUAAUAAAGAACCAGGAUGAUUUCUUGGUAUCUAUUUGGUCAAAUGAACCAAACAAUAAUUAUUCAUUUUGUCAACCUUAGACUUGUUUCUUCACAAUAUCAAUACGAAGCAAUCCUUUUUUUUUUUUAUGUAACUUAAAUUCUUGAGAAUUACAUUAAUGACCUUUACUUAGAUUUUCUGAACUCUGCAAUCUAACAUAGGUUUCUCAUGAAUAUUUAACAAUGGGGGUUGGUGAUCUUGUUUUUGGAGUCUUAUCUUUUUGAAACUGAGAAGGCUCGCUCCAUUAUUUUUGGGCAGUUCACUUUAAUUAAGUUUGUUGAAUUAUAACUGGUGAUUGUCUUAUCAAACUAAUUGGGUUAAUUUCCCACAUCGAGACUUUUCAUAAGUCUUGUGACAUUACUUCGUAUCAAUUGAUGACUUCACCCGGUUUAGGGUUAUGCUUCCUAGGUCUUCUUUUUCGUUUUUCUACAUAGUAUUAGAUUUGGUUUCUCAAUUUAAAAAAAAAAUAAAAGAAAAAUUUGCUGGUGGGUUGAUGUGGAAUGGACAGCUACUUAAGGGCUCGAGCCAGGACUUUUGAGCCCGUGGAAUUGUGAUGUGAUAAUCAAGCAGCUAUAUUGCAUUACUUUGUGUUCCAUAAGUGUAUUAGACAUUUUGAAGUAGAUAUUCAUUUUGUAAGGGAAAAACUUCAAGUUUUAUUAUUUCUCUUGGUCAUGUUAAAACUGCAGAACAGCUAGCUGAUCUCCAAUUACUAUCAGAUGAAGUCUGGAAAGUUUGGCUUAUACUAUCUUUGCAUGGUUUUUACAAUGUUAGAGGGCAAGGAAUAUAGAAAUGUUGUCUAAGUUAAGGUAGUAGUAUUGCUGUUCUCUGUAAUGAACUCCUUUUGGCUUUUGGUGUUCCACAUUAUGGCUCUAACUUUUGCCCCUUGUGAGAUUGGGAUCUCUAUCAUGCAUUGUUGUUUUAUGCUAAUGCAAAAGGAAGAUUCUCAAAAAAUCGGAAUGUAGGAGCACUUCUGGUUUUCAAUGUGGAUGGUUUUGAAAAUUUGAGAACUUGAUGUUAAAGUAAGUGGAUGACUGAGAGAGAACCUGUUGGUUGUUCACUAUUUUACCAAUAUAUCUCGUGUCUUUAUAGCCACUAGGUACGUGUUGUGACUUAACUCUAAUCAAGAUCUAAUGAAGAUUUAAAUAUAUGUUUGAUGUCAUAUGACGUUUGAUUCUGUCUCAGUUGGGAAGGAAAGACACCACCAACCAUAUGUAGGUCGGUGAUGUAAUAUCCUGAUGGUGUCAUAAAAUGAGUCUGAACUCUGAAUCAAAAAGUACUAAUCCUACUGUAUCAACUAUUGAUCAGGUAACCUGUGCCUAUACGUAAUCUUCAGGAGUAUUAGUGUUUGCUUGGCUUUCCGUGUUCACAAAAUAUUUAGUGCAUUUUAGUUGUAUUGGAACAGAUAUAAUGUCACUGCCUAAUGGAGCCUUUAUUACAAUUCUGGCUUGCUUUGUUUAACUUUUUAACCUGCCAGAACUCUCAACUUUUCGCAUCUCUAUCAUAGUUUUUGGUCACAUGUCAACCUGCAGAGGUAGGACCUGAAGGCCAUCUAGUUUGUUUUUGCUGGUCUUAGGAUAUAAUCCUAGGUCAGCCAUUAUUGGCUUGCUUUGCAAGCUUAUAGUUACGAUGAGUCCUUAAAUCUCUAAUGAUGGCUGAAUGGCCUCUUUUGAUUUCCUAAUUUCUUGAUACUCUGCAAGUUUUGCAUACUUUCAAAUUUUUUAAAAGCUUCUUUAGCGUUAUAGUUGUCUGACUUAUACAGGUCUUUAAUCCUCAGUUUACGACUGUAAGGAAAAAAUACCAUACCCUUAAGAUGUUUGGCCUUAUCGAUGCCGAAUGGCUCCUCCUUUUACAUUACUAGGAUUCAUCACUUGUUAGCUACAAAUCUGCUUUUGUAAAUUCGUAAUUAGGAGUAGAAGAGCAUUACACUUGAUUUACAGUUACUGGGUGUAUCACUCCAUCUUUGCCCGAGGCAAUGGGCUAGGAUAGUCCAAUUAGAAGGUGGACAGUUGAGUGAGUAGGAUUCAGUGGUUAAAGGUACAAAUCUAGCUAAAUGGCUAGCAAAAUAGGUUAAGCUUCAGAUGCCUAGAUGGUAUCAAGAGUGUGAUGCUGUUUAAUCAUAAGCAAGGAUCUCAAAGCUUUUGAUACAAGGAUUUUCCAUGAAACUAUAUAUAUAUAUAUGAGUACCAAUUUUGUUCUGUUCUGUGAUUGUCAAAUGCUAGCUUUUAAAUUUUGGAGGGGUAAAGGGGCCUUGCUGGAUAUGGGUUUACAUUGUUGAUGGGGAUGCUAAGUAAAGGGGCCUUGCUGGAUAUGAGGAUGCAGAAUGUAAGAAGAAGCAGGGGUUUUCAAACUUUUCUCCGGGACUAUUGUUAUUAUUUGUAGUUUUAGCAUAUAUUUAGUUUAUUGGUGGUGCAUGCAGAGAGUUCCGUAGGAUCAUCUCGACCACCAAUAUUGUGCUGGCGACCUAAGAAAGAAAGCAUCUGCUGCUAAGUUAUGCACAAGCAUGCAUCCUGCUACACGUACACAUUAUCAAAAUCAGCACAUAAUUUUAGAUGCUCUGGGAAAAGAAAGAAAGAAGAUAUCCCUUUGCUUUGGAUAUAUUUUGCAGGAAUUUUAUCUGUUGUGACAAAAGCCUGCGUUAAACUAUUACAGGCACACUAUUGUUGAGGAGUGUGUGCAAUGUUCUUCGCAUCUGAUCCAAUGUCAGUCAUGAAUUGAACAGAAUAAUUAGAAGCAUAAGCAUUCAUCUGAACCAAUGUGUCUUUUUCCCACUUUUUAUUCAGGUCUUGACUGAGUGAGUAGAAAGUGGGAACUUUUCUGUUUAAAAAAAUGCCAUUUGUAGUUGCACUCUUGCUUAAGAUACGCGCGCGGAGGUUUGUGUGGAAAGGAAUGUGCAUGCAAGCAACUAACCAUCAUAUGUAGGAUAAAAGGCUAGUUGGGCUCGUGAUUUUUAUAGGAUAAAAGACCUCAAAGGAUACAUCAUAUGGAGCUCAUUAAAAACCAACUUAGCAUAUGUAAGUUAGCAAGCCAAGAAGAAGGGAUUUAAUUCUAAAAUCCUCUUUGACUGCAGGUAGAAUGUUUGAAAUCUGGUGCUUACAGUUAAAACAUUUCAGAGGAUGUGUGUUUCCUCUGAUUUAGAUGAGUCAUCUCCCUCUAGCCUCUCUCAUUAGUCAUUCCCAUCAAAGUAAGAUAGAUGUUAUAAUAUUGUCGUGUGUGACAAAAAUGGUGUAGGUCAUCACAUUAUUUAAGCUUUUAAGUGAAUGUGAUGCUGAUUUUUUUUUUAAAAGAUAAUUCGAUUGACCACAUAAAAAAAAAAAGGAUUUACAUGUGCAUUCUAUUUUAUUUGUUUAAAUGCUUUGAAAGAAUUGACAAAUUAAAUGGUUUCCAUUUGUAAUGAUUUUCAUCUUUGCAUGUAUGGUAGUCAGUGGCUAAAGCUUUUUUUUUUUCACCAAAAAAUAAGUACAAAUUUCAAUUUCAAAAAUAUUAUGUUAUUGAACAAGAAAAAAAAAACAUUUACUAUAGCUUAAGACUUUUUGUUGGAUAGUAACAGAUGCUAAGAGCAGUGCAUUGAACUAGUGUUCAAAUAAUAUUACCUUAGUCAUGUAGCAUUAACGCUAUGAUUUCAAGGGACUUUUAUGAAGUGACUUUGGAUACCCUUCUAACCAUAUGUAUCUUUGCCUUGUUUGAAGGAAAUAAAAAAACUUAAGCUGCCAUGAAGAUUUAACCAUUGCAUAUUUUCACGAUAUUAAUGAACAAUAUUCAUAAAAACAGCUUGUAGGAGAAGAGAAGAUAAAGUGUAGAGACUUAUUUCCUUCAAACAUGUGGCUCUGAUACAUAAACACUCCAGGAAAUUCAAGCACAGAAAGUAAUGGAUCCACGGUUAGUGAUGCUAGCUCGUAUGCCAUAACGGAGACCACUAACUCUGCUGCCGAAAAGUCUUCAGAAAUUGAUAUUGUACGACAUGAAUUGACAUUGGCGGACGUAUAUUGUGGUUGAGGUGCCAUGUCUACUGGUCUUUGUUUGGAUGAUUUAACACUUGUAAGUAAAUGGAUGGCUGUCAAGUUUAUAAUUUUGUUGCCUUUCUAGUUCGUGUUAUUUCUUCUCAUCUAUAAAGCUACUGACACUUCUCUCAAGUCUGUUAUGUAGAGAUGGGCAUGCAAUUGAAUCAUCCUGAAACUGAGGUAGUCUAGUCAUCUUUAUCUCGAUCAGUCAGCCAUCUAGCUAAGCACUUGUAUUCAAGAGUAAGCCUAGAAGUUUUAAUUAUAUUCGGGUGAGAAAUGAAGGAGCAGAAGAUUUUCUUUGCUUAUUAAAGGAAUGGGAAAAAACUUCGUGAAGAGUUUCGAUUGCUUGGUUCUGAGGAAGUAAAUUCAGUUCUAAAUUGCUCCAAAUGGGUAUGAGUCUGACAAUGAAUGUGGAGAUGACGGUGCACUCCAACCUGGGGAAUUUGAAGCUUUUAGAUGUUUGCUAUGGAGACCCGAACAACACAAAACAACGUGCCUUGUAUUUCAAGGUAGGAUCAUCUCAAUAAUUGGGUCCAGACUCAACGAUUACUUUGCAUUUACUUCACAUAAUAGUUUUUGUUAAGAGAAUAUAAGUAUUCUUGUAGAUAAUAAAUUAGUAAGGGUAUUUUUGUAAAUAGUUUGUUAGGUUUGUACUCCUAUAAAUACUAGUUGGUCACUCAUAAUACGGUGACUAGAUGUUUUCCUCCCAAAAUACCUGUUGACAUGGUAUCAGAGCAAAAGUCCUAGGGUUAGGGUUAACAUCUAGUCAAAAGUACUGUUCAGCCGCACUGUUCAUUGCGGCACUGUUCACGUGUACUGUUCACGCAUUACUGUUCACGGCGUACUGUUCACACGUCACUAUCAUCUCGAGUUUUGACCCUUUCUUUGGUUUGAAGUGCUAUUCGUCAUGGUUGAAAGAUUUGUUAAUGUGGUUACCACUGACCAAAUUGAAUGGGAUCUUGUCCCUCGUCCUUCAGGUAAGCCUGUUGUUGGUUGUAAAUGGGUGUACACUAUAAAAGUGCAGCCUAAUGGUUCUAUUGAUAGAUUGAAAGCUCGUCUGGUAGCUAGAGGAUUUACUCAGGUGUAUGGAGUAGACUACUUAGAAACAUUUUCUCCUGUUGCAAAGAUUACCUCGGUUCGUCUUCUUAUCUCUUUGGCAGCAACUUACAAUUGGCCAUUGCAUCAGUUGGAUGUGAAAAAUACAUUUCUGCAUGGAGAUUUAGAAGAAGAGGUAUAUAUGGAACAACCUCCUGGAUUUGUUGUUCAGGGAGAGAAUUCGCGGUUGGUUUGUCGUUUGAAAAAAUCCUUAUAUGGAUUGAAACAGUCUCCGAGGGCCUGGUUUGGCCGAUUUAGUAGUGUUGUCAUGGAAUUCGGUUUGACAAGAUGUGGAGUAGAUCAUUCUGUAUUUUAUCGGCAUUCUAAUGCUGGUAAAAUUUUAUUAGUUGUUUAUGUGGAUGAUAUUGUGAUUGCAGGUGAUGAUGUUGUGAGGAUUCAGAAACUUAAAUCCAAUUUGCAGGCAAACUUUCGGACAAAGGAUUUAGGUCAUCUACAGUAUUUUCUGGGUAUUGAGAUAGCUCGAUCUAAAUAUGGGAUUUAUUUAUGUCAAAGAAAAUAUGUACUUGAUAUGCUGAGUGAAGUGGGAAUGUUAGGUUGCCGACCUGUGGAUACUCCUAUGAAUUCUAAUGUGAAAUUAGUAGGAGAUCAAGGUACAUUACUAGAUGAUCCUAGGCAAUAUCGAAGACUUGUGGGUAAAUUAAAUUAUCUCACUGUAACGAGACCUGACAUUUCGUUUGCAAUGAGUGUUGUGAGUCAAUUUCUUGAUACCCCUCGUACUAGUCAUUGGGAUGCUGUUAUACGGAUUCUCAGGUAUCUUAAGAGUGCACCUGAAAAAGGAUUGUUGUAUCAAAAUCAUGGACACACUGAUAUUGAAGGAUAUAGUGAUGCAGAUUGGGCUGAUUUUGCCUUAGAUCGAAAAUCGACCACAGGAUAUUGUGUAUUUGUUGGUGGUAAUUUAGUGUCAUGGAAGAGUAAGAAGCAAACAAUUAUCUCCAGAUCAAGUGCAGAAUCUGAAUACCGCGCUAUGGCUCACACUGUGUGUGAGUUGAUUUGGUUGAAGAGCAUGUUACUUGAAAUUGGGUUUGAGUAUAAACAGCCUAUGAAUUUAGUGUGUGAUAAUCAGGCAGCUGUUCAUAUUGCGUCUAAUCCAGUGUUUCAUGAAAGGACAAAACAUAUUGAAGUUGAUUGUCAUUUCAUUCGAGAGAAAUUGCUUGACGGAGUUAUCAAGACAUCUCAUGUACCGUUUGUAGAUCAAUUGGUUGAUGUGUUUACCAAGAGUUUAGGGGACUCUAGGGUGAAAUACAUUUGUAACAAGUUGGGUGCUUAUGAUAUAUAUGCUCCAACUUGAGGGGGAGUGUUAAGAGAAUAUAAGUAUUCUUGUAGCUAAUAAAUUAGUAAGGAUAUUCUUGUAAAUAGUUUGUUAGGUUUGUACUCCUAUAAAUACUAGUUGGUCACUCAUAAUACGGUAACUAGAUGUUUUCCUCCCAAAAUACCUGUUGACAGUUUUCUUUUCCUAAAUAUUGCAUUUUCAUUUUUGUGUUAGUGAUCAAAAUGAAGAAUUUUUUCUGAGCCCUGCAGGUUAGUUGUAACUAGAGGAUAUAUGAAUCGAAGUUAUUGCCUCUUCCUGUAAGUUUUUUUCAUGUUGCUUGAAGCUCCACAACAAAUUAGAUAUCGUAUCCAUGAGUAGUAAUGUAUCUACACAAAAUCUCAGCUGAAGGUCGGCAGCUUCAGGAGCUGGAGAAGCUGGGCAAAAAGCAUAUUUAUCUUCAGAGAAAAACGAUCGGAGCAGCAGCACAUAGAUAUUAUUACCAAAAGGAAAGGUGUUUAUAGAGAUCUCCUUGAUAUUACAGUCCACCUACACAACAUUGCAAGGAUGGUAACCUAAUUUGUACAACAUCUACCAGGAGAUUGAUUACUAAGAGAACUCGGAAUAGACAACCCAAUCCCAAUCACCAACACAAAGUAAACGAGAAACUUGAUCCUUCUGCUAAUUACAAACAAUGCUCU